ensembl:lncRNA
CUUUGCUGAAGUUGAGCUUUGUGCUGUUUUUUUUCCCCCUCCAAUUUAUCUUAUCCUUCAGCGUUCCCCGCUGCUUUCGACCUUAAAAACAUCGGGUUCCUUCCUUAAUCAAAAAAAAAAAAAGCGUGGGCUAACACAUUAGUGCCCAACCCCUGGCUAUGCCCUGAGCCAAACGGUUUUGCAGCUGGAAGUCGUUCAGUGGGUGCUCAGGAUGAGUGGAGGAGCAAAGCAUCCUCUCCAGGAGCGCCGUUCUGCUGCUGCGUGUGUUAGAAGCCAAGCAGUGAGUGCAUCUCCCUGGUUGGUUUCUGCUCUCUUGUUGCUUAUGCAUGCAUCUGAUAAGUGUGCGUCGAUACCCUGAUAUGAUAGCUUGGCUUCAACACUUCUGGGUUUCCGUAGGGCAAGCUUGGUAUCUGUAAGAAGGAGAUGAAAUAACUUUGUUUCCUGAGUCGGGUGUCGUGGGCAGGUCGCUCUGACGGAUAUUUCUGCUUUUGUGGAGAAAUCUAUGUGAGAUGUCAAAGUCUGACGCACGCGUUGCAAAUGUGCUUUGAUUGAUAUUUCUGUUGUAAUUGAGAUAAUAAGGCUCUUGGCACACUGGGUGUGUUUUUGGGCUUUAGUAGGUAGUAAAUAAUCCUAAACUUCUUUCUAUGCAAAGGGAGCAUCAGAAGUGAACCAGGGUCUGAAUCUGGGGUGAUGGGAGAAGUGUUCACCCCCGCAAAGCCCCCUGGCUUCACAUACCAUCUGAGGGUCCUGCUGUUACACGUGGCUUUACCCAUAUUCACUUAAUGGCUUUGUGAUGCCUCUGUUUUUUCAGUUUUCAUUCCAGAAACCGGAGUUUGCAUCAGUUCAGCUCAGUGUUAAGAGAUUCUGGAGCAGGGGUAAUGGGCUGUCUUCAUUUGAGCGUGGCACAGCCACAUUCUUCUGGCAGCUCAGCUGGGGUACUGACAGUUCUUGAACUUCUUGAUGUCUCUUUGCAGAAGGGAAGUCCAAAAGAGUUUUCUGAUAUUCUCUCGUUUUGCAAGUGGAGACUGUUAGCUCUCAUGUUUGUUUGCAUGCGAGGAUGGCUUUUGGCAGUUGUCAAAUCAGAGCAGAAGCAGCAAAUGUGCAAAACAAGAAAACCACAGUUGUUGAAAUGCUGUCGUUUAGGCUGUUUCUCAGUGGUACACGGCAAAAUUGGAAGGCUGUUUUUGUGCUGUUAAGGUGGGAUGGGAAAGAUCGUCUUCCUCUGGGUGUUUGUAGCAUGUCACUGUUCAGACACGGGUUUGAACGCUGUUUGAUAUAUUACUAGUGCUUGCUUGCAUGUGGGGAGCCAGAGGCCACCUCAAAUCUGCUUUCUGUGACUAUUAAGUUUUGAAAUCCCACAGCAUCAUCAUCUUAAAGGUGAACUCAAAAAACAUUCUUUUUUCUUCUGGCUGUGUGUAUUUGUUCUCUCUCCCUCACGAUCUCUGCUGCCUGAUUUUCCUCCCUGCUGUUUGACUCCUGUCACCUUCCCCUCUUUCCUCAGGGCAUUCCUUCUCCUUCCCAUAACAGUUCCAGCAGGAUGGGAGAUGCAGCUAACCAGAUGUGCCAGCUAUUUGAAGCCAAGAUCGUAGUGGUCAGAUGUCAGUUGGUUCCUAGUCCAGAGGCAAUUUUUCUACUUUGGAAAAACCCCACAAAAUACAGACCUGGGAAGGACUACCCAAUCACUGGAUCAUGACUCCUCACCAGCAGAGAGGUUUUCCCUGUGCUUGUUGUCUCAUUUCCCUACCUGUUAUCUGUGCUAAAUACCCCUUUUUGGGUCACGCACAGACUGAAGCAGUUCCUAACACUGGGGUUUUAACCCAGCCUGGAAUUUUUGUGUUACUGUAAUGAAUGAAUCCUAACCCAAAUGGAGGUCCUUAUGACCUAACCACUCAGCAAGCAAAAUACAUGGGGUCUGUGAAAAAAACAAGUGAUGUCCAUGUGCGUAUUCAGGCAUGGGGCGUUUCAGUACAGUUAGUUGUAUCUCUGCUGGAAUGCAGCUGCUGGGGCAGCAUUUACAUGGGAUUUGAGGCACGCAGCUGGGCCAGACAGUUGUCCGUACAACCCCUGUUGUGCUUGCUGGGCUAUGGCUGCUCUGAGUAUGCUUGUAGCACUGUGGUUGCAAUUUAGACAUAUCCUCAAAAGCAGAGCCCACAAUUUUCUUCUCGGAGAAGACUUUAUAGUGCUGUUUACUGGUGAUUGUCGUGGUUGAGUUGGCUCCUGCAGCUGAGAUGUCUGAUUCUCAGAUGCAAAUAAGGUGGAUAUUGCCUGAAAAGAGGUGCAAAGCCAGUUUGAGGUUUUGGGGUUUGGGUAAGAAGGAUGAAGACAGGAGUGCAUAUAGCUCUAUGGCUCACAGCUAAUUGAUCCCUAUCUGACCUGGGGUGUAGGAAGCCCUGAGCGCUGGCCAACCAGUAAAUAGGUGUUAUUAUGCAGCAAUCACAGGCCCAGUUCUGAAGCACAGAUUGCAAUCCUGUUUUUGUGAAAUCAUUGCUGUUAGCUAAUUGAUGUCUGCUACCAGCAGGAGCCAUUUAGAGGAUUGACUAAUCUUUCAGAAAUGUAUUUGAAAGGGCAUUUUGUAGCUUUUUGCUUGGCUUGCUGGACAUUUCCUACAGGACUGUGACGAUUUUAAAGCAAGUUUCAAUACAUAUUUUUAAAUUCAGCAUUUGCUGGCAGAGUUGGAUCUACCUCUGCUUUUAUGUAAGGAGUGCACAGGUGUGCUGUGCUCCCUCUGCUGGCAUCUGCCCCUGCUAACUGGCAGUGGCUGGUGGUGGCUUUUCAGGGCUGUGUGGCAUUUGCAGUGACUACAAAGCGAUCUGUCCCUUGUUGGUCACAGUGAGUGAAAUACAGAAAACUGAGACUCGUCAAUGAAGCAAAUUUAAGCUUUUCUGGUUGUCCAGGGGAAGGGAACCCGAAGACUCCCACUAAUGACAAUGACUUAAUAACCUUGUGCUAAUGACUUAGCAGAAGGGGAAUGGUUUUAAACUGCAACAGCAGAGGUUUAGAUUAGAUAUUAGGAGGAAGUUUUUCACCCAGAGGGUGGUGACGCACUGAACAGGUUGCCCAAGGAGGCUGUGGAUGCCCCAUCCCUGGAGGCAUUCAAGGCCAGGCUGGAUGUGGCUCUGGGCAGCCUGGUCUGCUGGUUGGCGUCCCUGCACGUAGCAGGGGGGUUGAAACCAGAUGAUCACUGUGGUCCUUUUCAACUCAGGCUGUUCAAUGACUACAUAUAGUUUGAUGUAAAGGAGUUUCUUUCACCCUUAUCAUCACUUCCUUAGAUAGUUGUGAUGUCACUGCAUGGAGUUGGCUGAGUGUCUUUUUCUGCCUGUCCCCUCCCCUGCAUGAGUUUUGAUGAAUUAAGGAAACCUCUGUCAUUUUGCUACAGAUGCAAACAUACUGAGGGCAGUAUGAGAACAUGGAGUUAACCCAUGAAUGCAGGAAACCCUCUCAAGUUUCUUCUAAUACAAAAUGCUAACAACAUUUCUCUCUGUACAGGUAACACUUCUUUUUUUUUCCUGCAUAGUUUCCAACUGGUUAACCUUUUACCUGUCUUGUUUCAUAAAAUGCCUUCCCCAUGAUUCAGAAUACUAAGAGAUAUCUUCUUAUCUGACAUUCUUCUCGGGGAUGCUGGCAACACACGUAGCCUGAGGAUUGCUCCCCUUCCCGUUGCAUUUUGGUUAUGGCACUGCUGUGCUGAAGCACACGUCCUGACAUCUGGCUCUGCAGGAUGAGCUUUCUUACUGUUUCGUACUACUUUGUGUCACAUGAAGGGAUUGUGGAGCUGUGUAGUCAUCUCAAAUCUGCGCCAGUACGUUGGUCAUCUCUGAAUGUGUUUGAAAGUGAAUUCUAUGUGUUGGAAUGCCAAAAUGUCAUCUAGAAGGAAACAAGUUGUUCCAUGCAUGUGUGGUUUCCCUGAGGGGGGAUGCUUUAUGACGGGCUGAGUACUUUCUAAGGCCAGUCAAAGAGAAGAUGAAUUCAUUUGGCAGCUUACUGUGGUAAUUGGACCCUUUGCUUAUGUAAAGGCAGCACAAUUAAAGCCAUCAACACCCUCCAUUACUUCGUGCCAUCAUCAUAACCUAACUGCUUUGAUUUUCCUCGUCUCAUAUGUGUCUGUACCACAUCUUGGGUCCAGAUUUGGGUGUGAUGGAAUAAGGCACACAACUGAAUGUGGAGAGGAUUAUCUUCUCCUCCCUUGAUUAAAUGCCUUCACAUUGUAUGUAACACCAGAGCGCGUGGGGAUGGGAUUUGUACUCAUCUUUCAGCGCUUCUGUUAUAAGCAUGAGGAAGUAAUUAUACUGCAGGUUUGCUCUAUGCAGGCACCUAGUGGGAAAUGAUGUGUUCUGGACUGUGUUGGUGCUGCUGUAUAGUACCACUGACGUGCAGAUGACUUCUGGAAAAGGUUGGCAUGAAAGCAUUGGAGCUUGUGACAGGAAGAGCUGCCGAUCAAGUGACGAGCUGAGAGCUGAGAGCAGAGCCCAGAUCUGUGGAGCAUGGGGUGAGCUGCUCUGUGGGUUUCUUUUGGAGGGUUCCUAAGGCCUUUGUGUCUGCAGGGGAACUUGCAAGGGUCUGUAAAUAAAAUAGACCAAAACUCUUUGGUCUAAGUGGAUCGGUAACGUCACAGCCAUGAUGUGUGAGCAGCAGGUAGGCAGAAGGCAGCACAAUCCUGCCUUCCUCUUUUUGAAGUAAGUUGCUGGUUGGAUACGUGCGCUAUGGGUGCCUAUUGUCUAGAAAUGCACUGUACAUCUACUUUAUGUCAGUGGGCACAUUAACAUCUUUCUCAGAUUAUUAAUGAAGAUAGCAGUCACAUAACAGGUAGUUUUAAAAAACAACCGACCAAACAGGCACUGUUUAGGUAAGAUAUUUCUUUCCUUAGGCAUCUCUUCUGGGAAGCCCUUGGGUAAAUGAAUCUGCCGCCUACCUUGUGUGCCUUGAUUUUAAUGUGGGCAUUGAGGAGGAGCCAGCUAUCAGAACCGUGGCCAGAGAUGGAUGUGUUGGGAAGCUGCCACUAAUUACUGUGGUGUCUGACAAUUCACUGGUGUUAAGCCUUCCCUUGCAAGUUCUCAGCCAUGCACCCAGAAACAAAAAACAAAGGCGUGGAAAAAGGUGAGGUAACCUGGUCAUGGGGAGAGGUAACCUGGUCAUGGUCAUGGUGUGCUGGGUGGUGGUUCUUUUGCUGCCCUUCCUAAAAGUAGAGCACACGGAACCUCUUUGAUUUAAUGCUGCUGGGCUGUAUUGAAACACACUGCCAUGUGUUAUUGUUGAUGUACAUCUCAGAGUUAUUAGCAGGAAUUAAGACUUGAUGCAAAUAAUAAAAGAUGGAAAGAAAUCUUGCCACCGCUUUCUCCCGUUUGCCCCCAGGGUUUGCUGACUUUGUUUUUACUUCGUGGCAGUGAAGAAUAGCACUGAGUCUCUUGCAAGUGUCUCAGGGGUGCAGUUAGUUGGGAGCAGCAAUUGAGCUGGAGCCGGCAGGUAUCUCGAGGCUUUUGCACUGAAGCUCUCUCUUUUUCCUUAGGAAUCAGCUCUGCUUUUUUUCUGCAAAUGACUUUUAAAAAUACAAGGACAACAGUCUUGAUUAGAAAGGCCAAGCUACGCAAUUAUUUCUUCCUUGUGAAAGGAGGUGUCAGGGAGGAAGAUGUUUUUCUCUCCGUUGUCUGCCUGCCUUGCUGAGCUCGUUUCAGCUGACAUUACUCAGGCAGCAAUGCCCAGAGCAUCUUUUGGAGCAGUUCAUACAGGUACAGCCUGGGCUCUGCGCUGACUUGCAUCUUGGUAUCAUUCCAUUGACUUGGAGGAGUGACAAGUAAUCUCCAGACAGAUCUCAAGUCUGUUUUAAUAUGCAUCUCUUAUACAUAAUACAUGCGCAGCCACAGCGAUCCUUUGGUUACUGCUGGAAGUGGCUAUAUUGGGCAGAGAAAGUGGCAGCUGUUUUACAAACGUAACAGAAUGGGUUUUAUAAAAAGAACCAAAGUGAAUUUCCUCUUCCUAAAACUGAUUGAAGCAGAAGUGGCACCGCAAGUAUUUCUUGUGAGCUUCAUGCUGCUACGCAGGGGUGUUUUAUUUGCAUGCAUUGCUGUCCCUGUGCCUAUUCUUAGCCUGGUUUACCAAAAGCUCGUGUGAGCGUAUUGAGGCAGUGCAGUGCUAAGUCAUCGUACUGUGAGUAUUGGCUGUAUGCUUGUGUGGAGCCUUCUGGGGAAAGAGAGGAUUAUACCAGAGCCCUUUGUCACCUUCCCUUUGUUCCAAGCUUCAUUAAUUUUCAGGAAGUAGAACUUGUCAUUCCCAUGGCAUCCCAGUGCUGGAGCUAGGGAGGUGCUGGGUCAGAGCUGGUCUGUUCCUCAAAAGGCAAAGACCUCGAGGCAGCACAGAGAAAAGCUGGGUUUGCUUCUCCUUUGCUGCUGAAUAGGAGAGUAGGGAUGGGUGCCUGUUCCUUAGGGAGGGCAAUGCCUGUGUAUGCUUGACCUCUUCUGGCAGCAACAGGAGUAGCUGAGCACUGUAAAGCGUGGACAUGUGUAGAGCAGGUAUUGAGGUCAUAUCUGAUGUCAGGGGCUUGCUCCCAGCCUCUUUUAUCCUAAUUGCAAAUCCUGAGCCUGCUCAGGACCACGGAGGGUAAUUUAGUGAAUCUGUGGGACUUGUUAUAAAUGAACAUGCUGAAUGGACAAGAAUGGCUCACUGUUGUGUAUGUCUGUGAAGGUCAUUGGAAUAGGAUGCUCAUUUUUCAGUUCCUGCGUGCUGCUGGACAAAAGUUUUGUGCUGACGCAUGCAGUCCCUGUUAAUGGGGACUGAAGUCGCACUGAAAGAAGAAAAUGCCCCAUUCUGAAGGCUGCUUGGCAGGGAGACAGCUGGGAAGAUGUGCUAUUGGUGCACAUCUUUGAGACGUGAGCACUUCUUUUUAUUGCCUGACUUUUUAUCCCGAGGCCUCUUUACCGUGUCUUCUGCUCUUCUAUUAUGAGAAGUGAAAUUAAUAACCUCCUUAUUUCCCAUACAUGGCAAGGAAUGUCUUCGUUCUGGCCUGAGUUUAACUGUGGAUCAGAUCUGUUUUGGGAGCUGCAAUUGGCAAAAGCAGAGGGAGAAGAGGAAGCGAACACUUGUACAGCCUACUCACAUUGAAAUGCAAUUUUAAUGGUUCCCUGGUAUUUGCACAAUGACUGAACGUGGCUGUGUAAUCCUCAGUGUUGUUACUCCUUCCAUAUCGUAACUAAAGCUGUAAAGAUAUCUUGUUAAAUUGAGAAAAAGCAUAGGCAUAUGUUGCUUUUAGUAUUCGUUGUAGUAAUUGUUUGCAGUGACCUUUUGCAAUCUCAGAGUGAAAAUUUGUUUGCUUGACAUUCUCCCAAAUCAGCUCCUGGCUAUCUCCAUAUGGAACAGAGCGGAGUGGUUGUGUUGCUUGUUUCUUUUUUUAAUUACAUCCUGACAGCAAAGCCCAUUCUUCUCUGUUUAUUACAGUUCUGGCUGUUUCAAAGGGUAAUUUACCUUUAACAGGACUUCCACAGAUGGAGUUUUCUUGAACUUUGUUGAUUUUUCUUUUCUUUUUGUGGAGUAUUUUAUUCUUAGAGCCCCCAUUGCUUGUCCAUUACUCAAAAUAACCCUUUAAUAUUUUUUUAAAUCUAAAACAAAAUUUCUCACUGUACUCUUGAAUAUCUAAAGGCAUGAUGGUGACAGAGCUGUAUUCCAAGCCUGUGCUGGUUUUAGAAGAAGAAUCCUUCUUUUAUGAAGUUUUAGUUGAUAAAAAUCUUGUUCCUUGCUUGGAUGCCCUGCCUUGUGGUCACCGGCCAACGUGGGUUGGUAUAUAUGAAACUGCCAAACAUAUCAGAGGGCCUCAAUCUGCACAAGCUGUGUAUCUAUGUGUAAAACUUUCUCUUCUUGGGGAUGAGACCAAUGAUUUCUCCUUUAGCUGUUUUCAAAUGCUUUGCCUGGCAUACUUCCACUUUCUGACAUCUGACAGUUCUUGAGUUUGAAGAGCUGGAACACCAGCUUGUGUGAAACCUCUCAGAUCAACUGGGUGCUUCAGUUUUCCAGUGCAUCAUGGUUUUCAAAGCUGCACCGAGAGAGCCUGUGAGAGCUUGGCCCUUCAGACUCACUGGAGAAAGCUCUGAGAAGCAAGUGUUGAAAAGCAGGUGCUGCAGAAUUAGGGUUCUGCCAAGCUUUGAGAAACAAGAUUGCACCAACAGAUGUGUGGGGAUCGAGGGAAAACAAGUCUACAAGUUGAACAAGAGAACAGGCGCUGGUGGUGCCUCCAGCAGCUCAGUUUGCAGCUGAUCCUUCUCUGCCUCUCAGUGUGGCCCAUUAAGGCGGUGUGGCAUCUAGGAGUGGAAUCUGCAGCUAUUUAGGUAGAUGGCAGAAAUGGAAGGAAGGAUCAGGUGAGCCCCCAACACCCGUCUCAUCACCUGGGUGUCUGGCAGAGCUAUGUGAGUUCAGCCCCCAGUAGAUGAUCCCUGUGGCUCCCUUUCUACUCGGGAUGUUCUUUGAUUCUGUUCUGUGAUUCCAUUAUUUUGCACAGCAUAAUUUUGAAAAAAAUGGGCUUUUCAUCCUUGAAUCUGAACAGAUAGGCCUGAAGGGGCACUAUAUUUUCUGCUAAAUUCUAGAUAAAACCUUGUGUUUGAACUUGCAGAGCAGUUUAGGUGUGUGCUUCCCUGCAAAGAGCUUGAUCCACCCCUUCAUUUUGUUGAGUCUGUUAGGAAGAAAUGAUAUUUUUUAAGCUGUGAACACAAUAAUUUAGCUUGGAAAAAAAAAAAUCCUUGCAAAUAGAUGAUGUAAUGCCUUGUGUUUCAACAGUAGCUAAUUUGCCACGGGAUAACCUGGGUUAAAUCUGUCAGGCUUUCCAAUUCCCACAUUCAGCAGAGCUUUGUUCUUUGUGCUUUCAAAUGCAUGAUACGGAUGUGUGUGUCCACUGCUGUCAGUGUGAUUUCCUUCAGCUUUUCCAGCUGCAGUACAUCUACAGGUGCAAGAAAAGUUCUGCUCAUUAGUUGCUAUAUCCUUUUAUAUCUUUUUAAUUUUUACACGGUGAUGGGGCACAAAGCUACCUGAACUGCAGCACUACUACUUCUAGGUUUCUUUUGGUUUUGUGGGUGCAUUUUUUUUGCCAAGUGAGGUAAGCUGCCCGCAGCAGUGCUGGGUGGGAGGCUGCAUGUGGACAGACAGGCAAAUAGAAAUCAUAGAAUCACAGAACGGCCUGGGUUGAAAAGGACCACAAUGAUCAUCUGGUUUCAAUCCCCCUGCUAUGUGCACGUCACCAACCACCAAAUCAGGCUGCCCAGAGCCACAUCCAGCCUGGCCUUGAAUGCCUCCGGGACAGAUAUUAAACUCCGUUGCCAUUUAUAAGUGUAUUAAUUUAGGUCUCUGCCUGGCCAUUGUUGAGCAGAGUUUCUGUUUGUGCAGAAGAUACAGGAAACUUCAACCUCCUCUGCCUACAGUUGAAAUGGCCACUGACUUCCUAAGUUGAGAGCAGUGGAGGGACAGUUGGAGAGGAUCUGCAAGCACGUGGGUUGUUUUCCAAAUGAAGCUGCUAACAAACAGCACAGAAAACCAAACCUGUUACAUUAUCUUUUGUUCAGCUUUGUUCCUGUGCUUACAUCUGUCCUUCUCCCUGCUUUUUCCUUUCCCUGCUUUGUCAGGGGCCUGGGCCUAUUGCCUGUUUAUUUACUUGGUGUUUGGACUCCUCUCUCAGACUGUUAAGUACAAUGCAGGGAACAUUUAGUUCACACACACAUAGCUUUGUUUGCAGUGUGCAGCCUUCUCUGCUGGUGGCAGCUCUGCCUUGGUAGUGCAGAGAAGGAGAUUUGAUCAAAAAAAUGAUUAAUUUUGAUUCCUGUCUCCCUGUGAUGCUCUGUUUGUUGGGAUUUUUCACUGACCUGUUCCUUUUACUCUUCGGUUUUGGCACUGCUCCCAAGGGCUCAUGUAAGUAAAAACUUUGCCAGCCAGCAGGAAGAACUAGCACAUGUAACAGGGUUAGAGGGAUCCAGAAGCUUUUGUAUUGGUCUUUAACCACAGAGGAGGGGAAGAAUUUGCUCUUGGUUCUGUUUUAUCUACAUUUUUACGUUGAAAAGGGAUGUAUGUUGAUCUUAUUCAUAUGAAAACUGACACAAUUUGGGUUAAACCUAUUUCUUUGAUAUGUUGUUAAACCCAUUUGGCAUGCUGGGUGGUUUCAGCAGUCUUUAUUCUUCUGGCCCGUGCUGGCACAAAGCUCAGAACUGCGCUGACGCUGUGCUUGGACUGGAGCUCGUGCUCUGGAAAACAAUCAUUGGGAGCGAUGGCAUCUGUGGAGAGAUGUGGCUGACUCCCAGCAUCGACGUCUGCUGGGAUGUGCUUGUUUUGGACCACUGGGUUUUAGAAGCUUCUAAAAAUUGUGGAAGGGGACUGUCUUGCAGUCAACAGUUUCUUAUUUUUUUCCUGGUUUCUGUUGAAAACCAAGGCUGUGUACGAACUCAGCUGCCCUACAGCUGGCAUUAAUGGGAUGUGUUGAAGUUGUGGGCUGGUACAGAUGACAGGCCUUUAGGUGGAUUGCCUUAGCAACCCCUCUUCUCUGAAAGAUGGGACGUCCUCACUCACGCACAACGUUGCCCCCAGGAAAGCUGGUUGUUCCUCACAAGGUUUGGACUGAGCUCAGAUCCUGCUUUUCCCUCACCUCCUUUUUGUGACAACAGGAGGUAUCCAGUUGAAAGAAUUCUGUGGUUACGAAGUGGCAAGUUUUUGUCCUCCAAAUCCCAAGCAGCGUGUCCUGUUGUCUCUCAUCCUCUGCUAAAUCCGCUCUUGUGGGCACGAUGUGCUGAAUUUAAAUAAAUUCUAGUCCUUGCUAAAUAUCUGUCAAAUAUUGACUUAGUCUGUGGUGUGAGCUGACUAAGCUGAAGUUAAUGGUGUAAUUUGUGCUUGUUUUGCAUGUGCGUAUAGGCAGUUUCAAUGUGGAUGAGCAGGAGUGGAAAUGAAGAUGUUGCUUUGAAUCUAUUUCAAGGGGAGGAAAGAGGAGCCUGAGGCCUGCAGUGGCAGUAAUGGAAGUAGAGGGGUUGCUAGUUAAAGGUGUUGUGUAAGGGUGAUUAAAAAAAACAUCUUCUUAAUGAAUGAGGCCAGGAGACAAAAUUGAGGAGAGGCUGUUAAUUGCGUGCUAUUACAGAUGUCUUGAAAUGAUCUCCUGCACUCUGGUUGGUUGCCAUACCCCUGGGAUAAUCUUUCUUAAUCUGCUGAAAAGGAGAUCUAAAAAACAAGAGCCUGGCUAGGAUUUCUGUGUAGAUCAGCAGGCACAGUGCAGGUAUCUGCUGGUUUCAUUUCUUCUGUGGAAGCUUUGCCUUCUGUGAAGAUAAGAGAAUCCAGAAGGGCACCAAGGCCUCUCCUGCCCUUGGGCUGAGGUUGCAUGGACAGCUCCACAUGUUUGAGAUGCUGCAGUAACGUGAUGAAGUACUGGUGCAUCCAAGCAGCUGAAGAAGUGGAGAUGCAAAAGGAUAUCAAGUGGCAUGAGUCCCUGGAAUGAGCUGCUGGCAGAACUGAAGCCAAAACGUUCAAUUUCCCUCAUGUUUUGGAGCUAUGGUGGAACCUGGCCUUCAGCCUCCUGGCAGGUUGGUCUCUUGGAGUCAUCUCCAAGGGAUCUGUUGUUGGCAUAAGCGAGUUUUGGGACUCAACAUGAAAAAGAUGCAGCUUUAGGACUCUGAAUCUGUUGGAAGCUUGGCAGCCCAUGAUUUGGACAGGCAUACUCUGCUGGGUAAAAACUGGCUUGAGGGCAGGGCCCACAGUGUGGUCAAGAAAGUGAAAUCCAACCUGUGGCUGGUCACAGCCCCAAAGUUCGGCUGAGGCCAGUGGCACGAAGUUCAAGACCAAAUGACAGGUCCUGCACUUUGGUCACAACAACCACGUGUAAUGCUGCAGACUUGGGGCAGAGUGGCUGGAAAGCUGCAGGGAGGAACAGGAUCUGAAGGUGUUAGUUGACGCUCGGCUGGACAUGAGCCAGCAGUGUGCCCAGGUAGACAGGGAGGCAAAUGGCAUCUAGGGUUGUGUCAGAAGUAGUGCAGCCAGUAGGAGAAGGGAGGUGAUCAUCCCCUGUACUCAGCUCUGGUGGGGCCUCACCUUGAGUGUUGUGUUCAGUGUUGAGCCCCUCGCUAUAGGAAAGACAGUGAAGCAUCUUUGGUGUUCAGAGAAGGGCAAUAGAUCUGUGAAGUGUCUGGAGCACAAAUGUUAUGGGGAGUGACUGAGGGAACAGGGAUGGUUCAGUCUGGAGGAGGCUCAGGAGUGGCCUCAAAUUGCAACAGGGGAGGUUCAGAUUGGACAUGAGGAGCAAAGAGUUGUCAGGCAUUGGAACAGGCUGCCAGGGAGGUGGUGAAUUCCCUGAUCCCUGCAGGUGUUCAAGAAACAUGGAGAUGUAGUACUUAGGGACAUGGAUACAUGGGCAAUAUUGGUGGUAGGUGGAUGGUUGAACUAGACGAUCAUACAGGUCUUUUCCAACCUUAAUGAUUGUGUGAAAUGAUGAGCUGCUGCAUGUUUGGUUAUUUCUUCCUAUUCUCUUUGAACCCCACAGCUUUUCAAUGCAGUUUUGUUCCGGGUGGUGUCGUCUCUGUUGUGGCUUCCAGCAUUAGGGAAGCUUUAUGCCUACAAUUGAUCCUCUGUAGUUCAGAGAGCAAACAUAAUGCAGCAAAUGCAUUCUAUGCUAAAAUGUUUAUCAAAUUACUGUAAAGGUCUUAGAUGGCUCAGUACAGUGCAAUCCUGAAUCUUUCCAAAAUGGUCAGUCACCACUCUAUUUGAAAGCUGUGCCUUUUUAAAGGACAUGAAAUAGAAUCACAGAAUCAGGGAGGUUGGAAAAGAUCUCCAAGGUCAUUCAGUCCAACCCCAGCCCACCCCACCGUGCCCACUGCCCGCAUCCCUCAGUGCCACAUCCCCACAGUUCUGGAGCACCUCCAGGGACAGUGACCCCACCACCUCCCUGGGCAGCUGUGCCACUGCAGUACUGCUCUUUUGGAGGAGAAAUAUUUCCUAAUAUCCAACCCCUGGCACAACUUAGGGCCAUUACCUCUCAUCCAAAAAUAAGCUCUCCUUGGCACGUGCUCUUUGAGAUAAGGGCUUGGAUCCUCCAUAGGCCAAUGCAGAGCUGCUAUACUGCAUCUGAAAGUUCACAGCUGUUUUUAAUUUUACUGUGUGUACUGAGGCAGGCAUGAAGGACAGAGAGGGAAAGAAGUCUUAAUUUAACUUUGUUUUUUUUUUUUUUGCUUGAUUUAAGUAAUUUGCGGAGUCACGUAACAAAAUCUCUUAUGAUCUUAUUUCUGUUAAGAUUAUAGUAAUCUAGACUUGUUAUUAAUGCUGAAGGGCAUUUUUGCCCCUGCAUGUGUUGGAUACUUAUUGCAUAACACAAUUAGAAAAGAUAUCAAAGAAGAUACUUCUCAGCCAUGAGGCGGGCUGGGAUCUGCCUUCUCCCAAACCUGAAGGUGAAGCAUCAGUUGGCAAAUGGCUGCAGGACUGCCAGGAACCUUUCAAAUGUUUUCAAAGGUGUGUGACUGUUCCCUGCUGAAGGGGCCCUACAUGGUGUGGGGCACUUAGCUGGCCCAGUUGUACACAGUCCUGACGUCUGGCUAGUGUUAUUCAGCAAGCUGCUACCCAGUUCUUUCUUAUAAUGGAACACAGAAUAUCUGAAGUUGGAAAGCACCCAUAAGGAUCAUCAAGUCCAGUGAUAAUGCCGUGACUUAGGGGAGGUUUAGGUUGGUUAUUAGGAGGAAGUUUUUCACCCAGAGGGUGGUGACGCACUGAACAGGUUGCCCAAGGAGGCUGUGGAUGCCCCAUCCCUGGAGGCAUUCAAGGCCAGGCUGGAUGUGGCUCUGGGCAGCCUGGUCUGCUGGUUGGCGACCCUGCACAUAGCAGGGGGUUGAAACCAGAUGAUCAUUGUGGUCCUUUUCAACCCAGGCCAUUCUCUGAUUCUAUGACUUGAAGCAACAGUUAAAUGGCUGAGGAGCGUUUUGGAGAUAGGUGUUGUGAAUAUGGAUUAACUGAAGCUGUUUAUUAUCAGGGCUGCAUUCCAAGCCUUGCUGUCUGUGCUAGCAAUAUUCAAGUCUUCCUGGCUUCUCCUGGCACGUGAUGAAGUGCUUGCUGCCUGCCGUCUGCCUGUGAUCCUCACUUUGGUAGGUGGGGACUCAUUCAUCUGCCAGGCAGUGGCUGCUGGCACACGCAUUUGUCACCUGUGGCCACUCCUCUCACUGUGAUGUGCUCUUUCCUCACUGCACCCAGAGUUUUGCUAAUUGGAGGCAAGCACUGAAGGGACCGUGUUCAUUGUUCAGCAUCACGAGUGAGCUCUCUGCCUGAGUGCCCAUUUCAGGCAGCUGCAUGAGGCUCAGCAGCUUUGUCUGCCACCAUCAGACAGAUCUCUAGAUAAUCUAGCAAAUCUCUUGAUUAUGAGGGUGGGAAAUAAUAUGCUUUGAUUUACAGAUGUUGCUGCACAAAAAGUGCUUAUGUGGAGUCUCUGAAUGGCAGUAUCUGGGUGUGUUUGGCAUCCUUAAUUUGAGUACAUCCCUUUUCUGAACACAUCCUGCAUUUCUGCAUGCUCUUCUGGACAGAGCACUCGUUAGCUUGCAUCUGUAAUGUGGAUGGCCAUGUACAGACAAGCAGAUGAUGAAUAAUUUUUCAGCAGUGUUUCAGGCCAACUUGAGGGAUUUCUCUGGGUCAAGAGUCCUUGAAGUUAAUGGUAAGAAAUACAAAACAAGCACUUCAUCCCCUCCCUCUUCAACCCUGCCUGUAAAAUUAAGGCACACAGUAACGCCCUCUCUCAUCCUUUCUGUUUGUUUUUUUUUUUUUUUUAAUUAGCUCCUGUAACACCUUUGCUUUCUCUCCCUUACAAAGUUGCAGAAAAACUAGAAACCAUUUUCAAGUGUCUGUACCUGUAUAUGCAGGCAGGGCGUCCUUGGCACUGCUCCCUGUGUCCCGGCUCCCCGUUCUCGAGGCAGUGUGUGGAACUGACUGCACCAAGCACGAUGCUGCCGAGGAAGGGCACUGACAAAUGGUUCCAGCCUAUGCUGAACCGCCAUAGGGAGGUAAAGCACAGCCUGUGCUCCAGAGCAAGGGUCUUUGGAGGGGAGUAAUAAAAGAGUAACCGUCCUCUGCAUGCAGAGGAUGCUGCUACUCCCAAGUGCUGUGUGUGAGAGGAUCAAGACUGAGCAGUUGCAGGGCAGAGGAAGGCAACAAGCAUGUGUUCCUCACAUCUGCGGCUUGUGGUGGCUGCUCUGGUGAGAGCACACCAGCAGAUGCAGUGGUGCAGAGGCUUAUGCAGGAUGUUGAACCGCUUACUUUCUUCUUUUGCCCUCUUUUGGCUGUAACCAGGCUCUCUUGAUUACAGACAGGUAUACAGAAGGUUAGGAAAUGUUUUCGCAAUCCCUUUAAGAUGGAGCAAGUAGGAGAAAAGAGGUGCUGUGGGCUCUCUAUACUGGCUGUGUGGUCAGCUUGGUCAGUAAAUGACUGUGUUGAAACCAACUUGCCUGAUAGGAAAGCUUAAAUGUAACCAUGGUAUGCUGUGCAGGUAUGCCACACUUUCCCUGGGACAAGGGAGAGGAGGGAGAGAAUGGUGGAGUAGGAAUGCUCCUGCAGGCUGGGCUUGGUUUGAAGAGCUAAUGAACUUAGGGUAUUAGUUUCUUUACUAUUUAAGAUGAGGACAGCAUUUGAAUGGGAGGCAUUUAGGUCUUUUGUACAGAUGUAGCUGUCUGUAGCUAAGCUGUUGCUUUUCUUUCCCUGAGGUCUGCUUUAUAGUCAAUGGAGAAAAGCAGCCGUUUGUGCAGGACAAUUCAUCUUGUCCUAAGUAGACAUCUUGAACCAAUCAAGUUUUAUGUGCCCUAGAAGUGCCUGCUUCUUUUGCCAGCUACAGAGAGCCAGAUCAGCUCGUUCACAUGCAGCAGCAAUUGUUCAUGGCCAACCACAUCUCACUGAAUGAGAAGUGGCAUGCACAAGGCCAGAAUGGGAAGCUCGAGAGGCUGUGUGAGCUCCUCUGAGCUGCAGCUUCCUCCCUUUUGAAAUAACAAAGAGGUGAUGUGAUCGCCGGAUCCAGUUAUGCUCUGUGGUGGCAGGUGGGGCUUUGUGGCCCAUUUCUUCCCAUUUCAAGGAGAGUCACGGUAUGGUGAUACCGAUUGCUUUGAGGAAGUUGAAGGGUUUUUUCCCCACUCUCUUGAUCCUGAAAAGAUGGACCAGUUUGGAAUGAUCCAGCUGGAUGGGGAGAUGUCUCUGUUGCAAGCUUGGAAAAGGGCUUGUUAUACUAUCACAAAGAAGAAGGGAACAACAUGAAGGGCUUUUCCCUGUGAUUUUUGUAUCUCUGGUCAGAUGUUACUGGAGGAAAUCACGCUGCAAAUGUUUUAACUCUCCAACUAGAGCUGAGACCAUACAAAGCAAACCCUCUGAGCCUGCAAGGGGGGGUUUUGUAUAGGAAUCAAGCUUAUUGUCAGCUGUGGUGUUCAGACCCUUGGGAAAUUGUGACCAUUGUCUGGGCUAUUAUUGCUUAAUAAAAGCUUUGCAUUUCCUCAUUCAGAGUCUCAGAAAUCUGGUUCUCUGCUUUCAAAAAUAACUCUGCGUGAGCUGCAAUUGGAAGCAUUCAGAGGAAAUUCUUCAGCCAUUUAAAACAAAGUGAAGGGAGGGGGAAAAAAGCCUUCCUUGAAGUGCUUUUACUUGUCAGCAGCGAGUGAUUGUGUCUGAGUCGUGCUUCCGCUCCCUGGAGGAAACAUCGGGAUGAGAGCUUGCUUCUGUCCUGCCAGAGGUUUGUUUGCUGCAGCCUUGGAGGAUUUGGAGGAUUUGCUGAGGAGCCCUCAUGUUGGUACAGGUGCAGUGAAAGCCUCCUCUUGGCACACGUCUGGUGUCUGGGUGUCUCCGGGCAGGUGAUGGGACAGCUGCAACUGAUGCCUUUGGCUUUGAGGCUGCUCCGGGAGGAAAAAGCUGUGCCACGUUGGCACCAAAGAAUGUGCAGCACUUAGGGCACCCACUCCUUCCCACUUGGUGCUGGCAUCUGGGUGCUGCCCAGGGCAGGCACUGGUGGGUCCCCAGCAGGGGACAGACACAGAGCCAGCACCCUUCACAGCUGGCCUCGCUGCUGGAUGCUGGGCCGGGAGUUCUGCUGAACCAACCAGCGCUGGAGUGGGGGAGGAGGCAGGGAAUGAUCCAGCACGCAGGGGAGACUGUGCUGGGGGCUCUGCGGGGUGCAGCAGCCCUGAAGAUGGUUCUCUGUAGUUUCUGCUCUUCCUGACUCCUGCUGUGAGGCUACGGCCCUGCGCAGAAGCCCUUGAACUAUUUUGAAAAUGCAGUUUUUUGAGGCUUGUUGCUUUCCUCGUGUGUGUGUUCUUUGGGUUUAUUUUCCUUCCCCUUGUGUGGGAAUAAUUACGUUGCUUGUUUCUUAUGCUCUGGCUUUGAAGAGGAGGAAGAAUGUAUUUGGGUUUGGUUUAUUUUUUUUCCUCUCGCAUCAGGCAGUGUGGUUUCUGCUCUUAAAACGUUCUGGACAGCAGUUGCUGCCCACGUAGAGCACAGAAAUGUGUGUUUAGUGGUUGGGAGGCAUGCUGGCUCUGGGUGUGCCGCCUUGCUUUGUUCAGUGCCAGCGUACAGGAUUAGCCAUAAGUUAUCAUCCCCAUUAAGCCGGGGAGAUGGCAUUUACAUUACUAGAAAGUUGUGCACUGUGCAGACCAGAGUAUAAAUACUUACAUACACGGACAUAUACAUAUGUGGGAUAUGUACAUAGGAAAGAUGUUUUGAACUAAGAAUUGGACGGGGUGAUCCUUACGGGUCCCUUCCAGCUCAGGAUGUUCUAUGAACUGAGCCUUCCUUCGGAGCUGCAGGUUGCUUGCAGGGUGGAGGCCACAGCAGGGGGUGCAUGGGAUCAUGCACAGUGCCAUAGGAGGCGGUGGUGGGGAGGCUGACAGCUGGGGCACGGGCUCAGUUUUACCACCGAGAUAGUAAAUCUUCCACUGACUUGCCUUUUCAUUGCACUGAGCAGCUUACAAGCUGUAAUGAGGUAUGAAAACACAAAGAGGAACACAGGAGUAACUGUGGGCUGUGACAUGAACAGGCAUUUGCUGCGUGAGAGCGUGGGGAAAAGUCACAGUCCUGCAGCAGCGGAAUCCUUUCACCUUUGUGCAGAUUGAUGGUGAUUUUCUGAGUCCUCACAUACACCAUUAACAUUCCACGCUUGCAUUUGGAGCAUCUGCUGUGGUUUAGUUUGUAGCCCUGUGACUUACCCAGGCCAUACGUUAAGAACACAGGUGCUCCCCCUUCUUUUUUUUUUUAACUUUUGUUUGGUUUUUUACCACUGGCAUCUAAAUAUAUCUAAUAAAAAUGCAGCCUGGGGCUCCUUAAUGAGGCAGUAAGUCAUUCCUGCUCCUGCUCUUUUUCAGAAGAAACCACCUCGCACACUGGUUUCUCUUUGUGUGAACUUCUGCUUUGCAUUUCCACCCAUUUAUUGUAGCGUGAAGCCUCACACAAAAGGCAGCAAGAAAAGGCUCUGCUGCUCGGACCCUUUUGGUGUGAGUAAACCUGAACUCUUGCAAAGGGAAGCAGCGAGUCCACGGGUUGGGGUGAGAUUCUCUGAUUUUUGAACCUUUAAUUUCUGGGAGGAAAUGGCUCUGCUCCAGGAACAGCUCUGGUUUUCAAGCGCGCUGCUGCAGCAAAUGGGCUGCGGUUGUGGUUUGACAGCUGAAGUCAGGAGAUGCCUGUGAAAUCAGAUUAUGGUGGUGGCUGUGCGUGAAAUCUCGGGUGGCUGAGCAGCACUGUCCCCGAUGCACCACGUUCCUGGAGCAGCAUUCCCUGAGUCGCCGUGCCUGAACGCCUGUUUGCUUCGCAGUGCUGCUGCUUUCACCAGGACAUCUGUUGCAGGGUUGGGCUGUGAUCUGCAGCGCUGAGGUGUGUGAAUGAGAUGUACUUGUUUCAGAAGGGCUCCUUCCCUUUUUGGUUUUUUUCCUAUUUUUUCUCUUCCCCCACAGCUCACAGUAGGCCUGCAACAACCUCCUGAGGUUCAACAAAGCCAAGUGUAGAGUCUGCACCUGAAGUCACAGCGGCCCCCGCUAUCAAUACAGGCUGGGGAUGUAAGAAUAGAGCGCAGCCCUGGUGAAAAGGUCCUGGGGGUAACGAUGGAUGGCAGCUGGACAUGAGCCAGCACUGUGCCCUCUCUGUCCUGAAUGCCAACUGUAUCCUGGGCUGCAUCCAAAGUAGUGUGGCCAGCAAGGCAAGGGGGGGGAUCCUGCCUUUCUGUACUGUUCUGGUGAGGCCUCACCUGGAGCGCUGCAUCCACAUGUGGAGUCCUCAGUACAGGAGAGAUGUGGACCCAUUGGGAGUGUAUCCAGAGAAGGGCUGCAAAAAUAAUUGAUGGAAUGGGACACCUCUCGUACGAGGAGAGGCUGAGAGAGCUGGGACUGUGCAGCCUGGAGAAGAGAAGGCUACAGACAUACCUGAGAGUGGCCUUUCAGUACCUAAAAGAGGGCCGUAAGGAAGGAAGGGACAGACUCUUUAUCCGGAUUUGUUGUGACAGGGCGAGGGGAAAUGGUUUCAAACUAAAAUAGAGGAGAUUUAGGUUGGAUUUAAGGAAGAUUUUUACAAUUAGGAUAGUGAGGCACUGGCACAGGUUGCCCGUGGAGGUGGUGGGUGCCUUGUCCCCUGCAGACAGCCAAGGUCAGGCUGGAUGGGCUCUGAGCUGUCCCUUCUCAUUGCAGGGAGUGGGACCGGGUGGCUUUUAAGUGUUCUUUCUAACUCAAUUCUGUGAUGAUUCUAAAUGGGCCUUGAUGUGGUGACGGGCUGUAAGCUGGGGCUCCUUUUGCCAAAGAUGGGUUACGUAGCUGUGCUGCUUCACCGUGGCUUUGGAGGAAGAGGAGGACGGAUCCUUUGCAGCUCCGUGCUGUGAUGGAGGACUGAAAGUCUGUGUCUUAUUUUAGUGCCGAAAGCAAUGGGUCUGUGAGUAAUUGUUUAACCACGAGCUAUGUCAAAGCAGCUGUGGAAAAAGAAGAGUUGACUGAGAUUUCAGAGAUGCCAGUCCUCAUGAGAAGCUUCUGGGGGAAGGCAGGCAGGGCUGUGGUUUUGAAUGUAAUACCUCUUUUGACGAGCAGUCAUACCCCAGCAGUCAGCUGUAGCCGGGCCGUGCUCAGGCUGAGGUGCUUUAUUUACAGACUGCGCAUUCAUUCGUUCAUGGACAUUGAGGCCCAAGGAUAAAUCAUUAACUGCAACACUGAGGCAGCAGCCAGGUGCCCGCUGAGCUGCAUUCUCUCUCUGCUCCCCAGCACUGUGUGUCCGCUCGCUGCCUAAUCCACAAAAUCCAGCUGUUUGCCGAAGCGGUCUCUCAGUUAUUAAUGUUAAUUAGCCAAGUUCUGCUCUGAAUAUUCCUGUGAUAUGCUCUUCCAAAACAUACAAAGCGCUAAGCCCGUGUAACGAGCACGUCUGUAGCCAUCGCUAAUUGGCUGCCUCCCUCUGAGGACGUGUCCAUCUCUGGGGAAUGGGAGCUUUGGUGUUCUGCAGCCGGGGAGCCAGUCCCCUCUGGGCUCCCUCACAGACCUGUGCAGUAGUUACGUUGUUAGGUUUCUGGCCUUUGUUUUAGUCAUUAGUUUCUCUUCUGUGCGUUCUGCUUAAUAAACAGCGCCGUUUUUGAUGUUAUUUAUUACCAAAUUUGUCAUUAGUGCGUUAUUGUAAUCAGUGCCGACGAAGCGCUCUGUUUCGUGUAUCCUCCAGGUGGGGGCUGUGAUUUAAGUGCUCUUCUGAAAAGCUUUUAUGCCGUGAGAGAGGCGCUCCUCAUGCUGGCAGCAGCUCUAAAUCUCUGCCUCUGAAUACCCAUCCCGCAGCACCACCUCCUUCUUCCAGCUCUGUGCCAAGGAGAGUCACUUCCCCCCGCAAAUGGUGCUCUUUGCUCUAUAGGUAAACAGUAGGGCUGCAAAGGAGAAUCAAGUUAGGCUUGAAUUUUGAUGUAUGUUUGGGUUGAAGACGCGGUGUGAGCCCAGCGGGUGUUGUGUAUUGACGACAAGGAGGGAUGUUCUCUCAAAAUAAGUACGCUUUGUCCUUAAUUUUAGAUUUUUGGUCUCAUCCGGAAAACUCCUGGUUUUGCCAUUUGAUUAUAAUUUGCAUUUAGAUUGGCUGCCUGAAGGGGAGUCGCUCACGAGGGGAGAUGGGGCUGAGUCCUGUGCAGAUCUGACUGAGAGUAAUGGCAUUUACAUAAAAACCAUUAGCUCUGUUAUUGAUAAACAUGAAAAACAUCCAUUUGGAGUAAUUUUCUGAUGAGGAGUCUUUAAUAUAAGCACACAAUAGUGGCUCUCCUGCCCCUCAUCCCUCCUCACUGACCCCUUGUUGUUUUAAGGGCAAGUUUUGAUGGAGAUUUUAUUGGCAGGGAUAUGAGGAGGUUCCUAUUCCAUUUUUGUGAAGUGGACAGUUAUCUGUGUGCAUGGUAGGGAAUUAUUUAAUGCCCAUCCUAAGAGGGGUCUCUAUUAAUUGAAUGUGGAUUUAAUGUCCCUCUGAAGCACAGUUGUUCUGUGCGUGAUGUGUAUUAAAGUGUAUGGCUAGUGAUGCAUUUUGCUUUUCUUUGCAUCAUAAUGCCACUCCAUGGGUAAUCUUUUGCUUAAUCAAAACAGGGUUAAGCAAAAGUUGAGUGGUUUCCUGUUACAGGGGUACCAUUUGUUGAACCACUGUGUCUGUUAAAGGCACUCCUCAGUGUGUGCUGGAUCCACAGCCCUUAUAUUCCUUCCAGGCUGCAUCUUGCAAAGGGAGUUCUUGUUUCCCCAUGUAAUAGGCAGAGCACACUGUAAUGGUGCUUUUGGUGGUCAGUGUGUCUCAGAAACAGAUGUGGUUCUCUGUAGCACCUGAUUUUUGCAGCUAUUGGUGCCACUCCCUUACAUUUUGAUCAGAUCGAGCCUUGCUGAGAGAGCCUCUGGGGGCAAGCAGUGCCGUAGGUGAUUUCAGGCAUUGCAGCAGUGCUCUGAGCUUUGUCAGCAUUCUUAGUUCUCAACCUCAGUGUUGAGGAGGGUCUGUCUGGCUUCCCUCGGCUGGCCUACUUCUUGGGUCUGUCACUUUGUCUAUACUUAGAGCCUUUUUUCCUCUCUGAUAGGAUCCAAGUGAAUGAGUGGACAGCUGGCUACAGAGGAGAGACAGACUCUGUUUGAUCACCUUUUCCAGUAAGUACCCUUACAUUUCUAGGAUGAGACUUUCUAUAGUGCCUACUGUUGUGAUGCUGUCUUGUGUCAUCAGGUUGACUUCACUAGAGAGGAGCUCUAACUCUGCUUAUUUGGGCAACACUGCCAUAGAAACACGAACUCCUUUGGCUUAACUUGUUUGGUUUUGGGAGAAAUGGAAGUUGAUGGUUCUAGCUCCUUUUAUCCGAAGUGCUGCAUUCUGCCUGUAGUCCACUUCCAGUGGUGUGCACUUUCCAGCAGAACAAAGAACCAAUAUGGUUGUGCCUUGUACCUGUUUGAGGCUGCAGGGAAAUCUAUGCUGAAGGCGUUGCCACAUAAUUGAAUAAUGUGUCAUGUGUGGUUUCCUGUGCUGCAGAGCAGAAGAGGCCCUGGGGUCAGGAGAGCAAGAGUUCACCUGCUCUGUUCCAGCCUUGCUGAACUCAAGGAGGAGGGAGGAUGAGGAACCUGCUCACGUGCAGGGGUGACUCUUAGAGGCAUGCUGUGAUAUCGGUUAAAUGAGGUUUGACUUGACUUAUGGGAUGGAAAGGGUAUGAAGAAAGCACUGGAAAGCGUUGCCUAGUAUGUGGCAAGGAUGGCUUUUUUUUUUUCCUGAAAGUAAAGGAGAAAAUUCUUAUUUCAUGGGGACUUUUUACACGUUAAAAUAUCUUGCAUGCACACUAAUGGACUGUAAUAACGAGCCUAUGCUUUAUGAAGUGUCUACAAAUAUUGUUAAACUUGUUACUGUGAGGGACGUCAGUUAAUAUAUACUGGUUAACUGGAACAUGUUGGGCCAUCUGGUGCACAGCCAGGCUGAAAAUAGUUAACUGCCUACUGUAGGUAUCUGCAAGCUGACUCUCAGCUUUUGGAUGUAAAAUGCAGGCACAGACCCAGCAGGUGAGUGUGGGAGCUGCGAUGGCUGAGACCACUGCACAAUUAAUUUCACUGUAACAACCCUAGCAGGCCACUCUCCUAAGGAUAGCAUGGGAUGAUGAAUUUUAGAACCGAAGGUGUUCAUAAACAAAAGACAAGGGGAAAUUGUGUGCUUGGAAACUGGAAUGUGUUAGCAGGUUGGUUUAAAAACGUCCUGGGAGCAGGGCAGAUAAUGCUUGUGCUUCUAUGCAAGAAGGGGAAAAAGAAGCUAUCUUAUGUGUGUCUUCUUAUCUUCUCACCUCUGGCAAGUAUCAUGAGACAUGCCUGAUGUCCUUGGUUCAGAUGAUCUGUUCCUACCUAAUGCACCGUUAAUUUAGCUGUUUGCUUCUGAAUUCAGGACAGUCUUUCUACCUUUGGCACCUUUUGUAGUGUGCCAAACACAGUGGGGUCUCCCUGCUCAGCUGGCACAAUGGCUGCUGCCACAAACGCCGUGAGGAAUGCUAAAACUGAAAGUAACAGAGAGGUCAUGUGAAGAACAAAUGAUGCUGCUACUGGACAGUGCUGCCCCAUGGUCAUAAUCGACAGGUCUAAUCCCAAGUGUGUUUAGAGUCAGGUCCGCUGACUUCAGUAGCUAAAAUAAGUCAAUAUCAUUGAAUUCUCUUUCUCCUUGCGUAUCUUAGGGAGAGUACUGUAAGCUGUAGCCUGACAGCUGUGCAAUCUGCAGGAGGCCCACACGGCUGCAUAGGCUUCCCCAAGGCAUAAUUUGGCCUGCAGAACACUUAUUUCAGCCGAUGCUGUGUGUGGCAGGCUCAGCACUGACCUUCAGAACCAGGUAUGCUUUUGCGGGCCUGAUGAAGAACAGAAGUAGGAGACAAGGAUUUGAGGCCUGGAGUCCCUUCGAAGGGCAGAAGAUUGUGAUUAAAGCAAGAAGUCUGCGUAUAUGAAUUCAGAUCAGUAGGAGAUGGCAGAGGGAUGGAGCAGAGGAGAUGUUGGAAACAAGCUCUGUCUUAGAUUGCCAUAGAUUGGAAUGGGAAAAGAAACUGUUUCAAAGAAGUCCUUAACAAGUCAUUGUUUCCCAAGACUGUGCACUGAAUGUCUAAAUAACUGGGCUGGGGUUGGAAUAUUAGGAAGCUUCUCUUCAAGCAUCACAUGAGGCUUCGUGACUUGGCAGGAAAGCUACAUGUUGGGGGAGGCUGUAUUGCAGGGCCCUUGCUGUAAAUGGAUGUGGUUGAUGCUUCCUGUGCAAGCAGUGGGCUCACUGUGGAUGCUUGCCCUCUGUCUGCUCACAACAGCAGUUAAGAAUGCAAAGUGAGGGCGGUUUGGUAUUGUACUCUAGUAUUCCAGACUGAAAGAUCCAAGGCUGAUUCAGCUGUCCUCAUUACAGACGAUGUUCAGUGACUUUGACCAUCUUCACUGCUCUUCUGCCCUCUCUCCUUCUGACAAGAACUUCUGGUCGUGGUGCACAUCUGGGUUUUCCUCUCUUCAGUGUUCUUGAAACCCGACUUGUUAGAAGCUUGAAAGAGCCAUUUGGUUUGGGGCCCAGGCCUUUUGUUUCAGUGCUGUGUUUAUCACCCUGGAAAAGAGGCCAGGAAUUUUGUGUGCUCCACAUAAUAAUAAGCCAUAGAUAUAUAUAUUUUUUUCUAAAAGGCAGAAAUUUGUGCCUAAUCUAAAGACUGUAUCAGAAAGGCUAUGGCUAAACCUGAUGCAUUCCAGUGCACUGAGUCACUAGGACAAUAUAGUAUUUAACAAAGAGCCCUGGCAGAUAUUGUGUGCCUUUGUGCUGAUGCUGUCAGACGGGAUAUAUGACAUAUCUUUGUAUCCUGCAGCAAUUUCAGGAAACUAAAUGGCUGUUAGCAUGCACUGCCUCUUCUAAACGGGGACACAAAGCGCUUCAGAUGUUAAAGCUUCUCCCACCCUCCAUUGGUUAAGAGGGGAAAUUGUAUCAAAAAAAAAAAAAAAAAAGAAUAGCUCUUAUGUGGAAAAACAUAGAGCUGUGUCAUCAAACAGGUACUAAUUCUGCCAGGAAGAGACAUGCUCCUCCAUCCCCUCUGCUUUGCAUAAGUGCUGUUUAUUUUAUUAGUACUGUGGCUUCCCAAAAGUAGGACUGAAAUACAGCACGACUAAAAUCUUAGCGUUGUAGUCCCAGGUCUGCAGUGAUGGUCUGCAGACUGACAUACCCGGGCUGGGCCAGCUCUGUGGUUUUGUAUUUCAGCCCUGACUCACGUGCAUGGCUUUUGUGCUACUCUAAGGUGAAUCACAGCUCCUGCAAGUGUGGUUAAGGUCCUGCCCUGUGGCCAGGCUGAGAAGCCAGGUUCUCAAGUCACAGUUUUCUUCCUCAGCACUGAGUCACAGCUCUGAGACCCAUCUAGAGAAUUUCAGGUAUAGUUUAGUAAGAUAGUAAAUGGAGAGUAAUUUUUAAUGUGGUUGGGAUCCAAACAGCCAAAUAACUGUAGGAUUCAAGGUUAUUUUUGGCUGGGCAGUCCUUACAGGGUGCAAAUGUGCCAGAUGUUGAUCCCUACAAGAGAUCAGCUCUUCCUGGACAGCACUGGAACACUCUCCAUUUAUUUGUCCUGGUGUAGUACACUGACUGAACAAUAUGGCCAGCAUGGCAAGGGCUUGUAAAAUGCUGAGAUAAGUGUUGGACUUCUGCUUUGCACAGGAAAGAAGCUCAUGCUGGAGAAAGGGCAUAUAGUUUUAGUACUCAUUUUGCUUGGAGCAAGGGAUGGUUUGGUGCCCUUGUUGGGAUCCCUGCUCUGAAUGGGGAACUCAAAGAAGCCAACUUACACCAUUGAACUUUGGGCUUGAGGCUGCAUGGGACAAUGCUGUAAUGGUGGAGUGGUAACAGGGAGCCUUUGUAACACAGUGACAAAGCCAGCUGUAUGUGCCCAAGUGCUCCUGCUUGCUAAGCCUGUAAUAUCAGUCCCAGUUCUGUUCUCCUUCUUUCCCCUCCAGGAAUUGGUUUGUACUUAGGUAGAAUAAGUCACUGUUUGUGUGUUUACUUCUUUUCUGCUUACAGUUCUCAUUGAAUCCCACAGUGGGUAAGAGGGGGAAAGCUCAAGUGAGGCUAAAAUCAUCAUGCUUUAUGCAGAUUUGCAAUUCUCCAUCCUGUGUUAGGUUUUUUUUAUCAGUGUUAAAUAACAAAGUUCAGCUAUUCCCCAGCUGAUCUUCUCCAGGCUCUUUCCUGGGCUUAUUGCUGAGCUGCUCCCGGGGCAGUGUCUGAGCAGGUUCUGCAGCCAUAUUUGCCGUGCUGUCUCUGCUACAGGUACAAGCUGUAGAACAGUUUCUUCCUGCUCCUCUUAUGCCUCCAUCCUAAAAGGAGAAAUAUACAGAAUAUACAGAGAUAUCAUUCAGGAUUUCUGUUGGAAGCAGGGAUAAAACUUUUCCUGACACUCUUGAAGUAGCAAGGAGAAAUGGUCAGAAGGUUGCCAAGCUGAGAGCUGCUGUUGAGGUGGAGGAUGUUCACUGUGAGAGGCCAUAUUCUGCAGCCUGUACUCCAUACUGAUCCACAGGCAUGGUUUGGGGCAGCUUUUCCCUGAAGGUGAGCUCUGGAGAUACCAGUGGCUGAUGAGAAGCCACUGUGUGCCUGAGAGGCCAGCUAGCAGCUGUGCAGGGGUGGUCUUGCAGAGGAGAGCUGGAGUGCAUGAGCAUGGAUAACUGUGGGAUGACAUGAGGCUUUCCCUGCAAACUGAAGAAUAGCUUGGCUAUGGCCUGCAUCCUGACCAGGUGAAUCAGUCCAGAUUACCUCCAGAUUUGCCAGAAGGAUGUUUCAUAUGGACAAUAGAUGAUCUUGAAUGCUGUAUGGAGGCCAAGGAGCUGACCCAGCAGUGGAUCCUCCUUGUAGUCAGAUGGUUGCUUUGUUCUGUUGUCUUCCAUCAAGCACCCCAGGUACUGUAGCAGUGACAUACGGCUCUUUGGCUUCAAUCAGUGCCUCCUGAGUGCACUAUUACUCAUGUAUCCAAGACUGAUUGGAGGUAAUUCAUGUAUGUGUGGACUUCGGCACCUGGGACCGGAGUGGUGUUGCAGACUGUUAAUAAGAAUACUUGAAAGUGCAGAACCUGAAAACAGAUGAUAACUUGCGUGUGAUAGGAAAAUGUUCCAGUGGUUAUUUAAUAACAAAGCUAUUUCAAAGUGGUUAAAGAAGUAUUAAAGGGGCUCUCCAGGAGUCUCACAUUACUAUAGUAACAACAGGGAGGCAGGGAACAAGUUAAAUAAUGUUUGCCAGUAGCACUAAUUUGCUUCUGUGAGUAAAAUCUAUGGACAGCUGGAGGUAAACACUUCAUGAAUAGCCUCCGACUUGAUGAAAGAUUGAGUAGUGAAGUUUCAGUUUGGAUAAAAGUACAUCAUCUCAUGAUGUCAGCUGGAGCCAUUGCUACUCUGCAGGUUUGCAGGGAAGUUUGGAGAAAGGCCCCUAGGAAUGACUGGGGAAGCACGAGUGAAAUCCUCCUCCUUUUGUGUGACUGAGGAUGUUUCCAGUGCAGUUUGAUCACAGAAGGCCUCAAUAUGAAAAGGAUUUACUUUGUGGAAUUGUUCUGUCAUUACUCAGCAGGAUAAUUGACUUCUGAUUAGGAAGAAAAUAAAGCUGAAUGUGUGUGUUUGAGGUUAUAAAGUCCUCUUCAAAAGGCAGAGCUCUUACUUAAACAGCGACAGCUCAGACAAGAACAGGAUGCUUGCGACUCCUUUAUGCUGGCAUUGAUGUAACAGCUGUUGUUGUUUAAACAACUUGUUUCUCCAUUCUUCAUGCUCCUUCCUCCUCCUGUUGUAAAUCAAAGGAAGAAGAGUGGGAAUCAGUUUUGUUAUCUUUGAAAAAUUUAAUAACCUUGUCUUUUUAUCUUUUGGAAAUGGUUUUGUCUUAUGAAUCAUAGAAUCAUAGAAUGGCCUGGGUUGAAAAGGACCACAAUGACCAUCUGGUUUCAACCCCCUGCUAUGUGCAGGGUCGCCAACCAGCAGACCAGGCUGCCCAGAGCCACAUCCAGCCUGGCCUUGAAUGCCUCCAGGGAUGGGGCAUCCACAGCCUCCUUGGGCAACCUGUUCAGUGCGUCACCACCCUCUGGGUGGAAAAACUUCCUCUCAAUAACCAACCUAAAUCACUUCUGUCUUAGUUUAAAACCAUUCCCCCCAUCCUAUCACUAUCCACCCUUGUGGGACUCAGACCCACUGCUGUCGGGGUGCUGAUGGCUGGAAAAUAGUGAUUUCUUUCUGACCCUUUUUCUGACACUACCUCCAAAGUGGCACAGGAACUAAAAGCAAGCCUAGGCCAGCCUUUCUGCUGCCUACAGGGAGUUCAGGUGUGGAGGAGGUGGGCAUCUCACUGUGGAGAUGAUGCUUAAAGUUUUAGAAGAAAUCUUGGCUUAUGGAGGUGAGCAAGGGUCUGUCUUUUCUCACUGUAACUAUUAUCAUUGAAUCAUUUGAGUUGGAAGGGACCUUUAAAGGCCAUCUGGUCCAACACCCCUGAAAUGGACAGGGACACCCACAGCUCCAUCCGUGCUCAGAGCCCCGUCCAGCCUGACUUUGGAUGUCUGCAGAGAUGGGGCACCCACCGCUCUCUGGGCAACCUGUGCCAGUGCCUCACCACCCUUACUGUAAAAAAGCUUCUCCUUAUAUCCAAUCUAAAUCUUUGCUGUUUUAUUUUGAAAUGAUUUCCUCUCACCCCAUCAGAGCAGACGCUGCUAAGGAGUCUGUGCCCUUCUUUCUUGUUGCCCCCCUUUAGAUUACUGGCCUGAAAUUUCAUUUCUGCUUCUGUGAGCAAGCUUCAGCCUUGGACCUGUUUUAGACAGUGCUGCAGGAAAAAAUUACCUGGAAACUUGAAUCUUUAAUAAUCAUCACUGAAGAGCCAGGUUAUGACCCUGCCUGCUAGUAUUUCCACUUCUGAAAAGAGACAGGAUGUGGGUGGCUGAUCUGGAAUGGGUUCAGUGGCAUUGCACAGGGCCUCAACCCUCUGUGCCAACGUCCAGCUGUGGCUGCUGCUCUGGAUGAUGCAGAUCUUACAGGUGUACUUCAAGUCUUAUGAGAGUACUUUCAGAAUAGAGCUCUGAGUUGGGAGAAAUGGAAGAUGAAUGCAUUGCUGCAUUGAAACUGCCCCUAAGGAGGGGAAAACGCACUUCUUCCCUUUCGUCCUGAAUCCUCUGCUUCAUCAUGUGCUGAUCCAGCUGCUCUUUCCCUGUAGACAGAUUUAGUGUCCUUUUAAUUCUGCCUAAAGCCCUCACUGUGAGGCGUUGCAGAGCUGAUUCCUUUGAGGGGGAAAAGGAAGCCUGCCUUAGGUCUCUGGGGAACUAAUUUGUGCCAAUACUCUUGGGUUUGCCAUUCAAGUGUAUCUUUGUUGCUAUAUGCUUCUGCCUUUGAGAUGCAGAGUGAGGUGGUUCAUCAGGUCUGCUGAUGGCUGUGGGACUGUAAACACAGUUCUUGAUCUUUUGCAUGAUGGAGCAGGGGGGAUUUUGUAUCAGAAACAGUGUAGCCUGCAGGAAUGGUAACAGUUCAUCUGUACUCUGUACUGGUGGGAUUGAGUACUGUGCUCUGUUCGGGGCCCCUCACUACAAGAAAGACAUUGAGGUCCUGGAGUGUGUCCGGAGAAGGGCAGUGAAGCUGUGAAGGGUCUGGAGCACAGGUGUUAUGGGGGAGCAGCUGAGGGGGCUGGGAUGGGUCAGUCUGGAGAAGAGGAGCUCAGGGGAGACCUCAUUGCUCCCUGCAUCUCCCUGAAAGGAGGCUGUGAUGAGGUGGGGAAUGGCCUCUGCUCCUGGGUAACAGUGAUAGGAUGAGACAUGUUCGCCUCAAAUUGUGCCAGUGGAGGCUCAGGUUGGAUGUUAGGAAACGUUUCUGCUCUCAAAGGGUGGUGAUGCAGUGGCACAGCUGCCCAGGGAGGUGGUGGGGUCACCGUCCCUGGAGGUGUUCCAGAACCGUGGGGAUGUGGCACUGAGGGAUGUGGGCAGUGGGCACGGUGGGGUGGGCUGUGGUUGGGCCUGGGGAUCUCAGAGGGCUUUUCCAACCCGAAUGAUUCUUUAAAUUGACAAAAUAUUCGUGUAUUUAUUUUGGUGCAGUAAGAAAUCCUUGCAUAUUUAAGUAAGUGUUUAUGGCUGCAUUUUUUUUUUCCAAACCGUAGUUAGGGAAAAAAAAUGGGGCAAAAGUUGGCUAUUAGCUGCUGAAGCAGAGUAUCUGAAAUAGAAGGGUGUCUGUGUCUGCCUUGAACACAGAGUUCACACGCUCCAGAAACUUCUUAAAGUGGAGCAAAGCCUGAAUGGGAAAAGCUUUUUAAAAGCUCUCUGAGAAAUCCCAAACCAAUGGGGGGUAGAUAGAAAUAUCAACAGGAGGAAACAACCACGUCUUCUGCCCACACAGCCCAGAGUUUGUGCUCAGAGAGGCUUUCCUCUUGCGGAGAAGGUGAAAAUGUAGAGUGGCUGAGGGAAGUGAGUGGUGAAACCCAUUGCAUGAUGCCAUCGCUGAGCCUUCUGGUGGUUUUCUCAGGCAAAUUGAGGCCUGCAGUUUUGUUCUUUUUCUUCUUUCUUGGUUUCUCCUGUUUGUCUUAUUCAGAAUAAGCAUUCCCAUUACACUGUGCACAUGAAGGGGAUUUGGUGCUGUCUGAGAUGGAUGAUAAGCGCAUAGGCCAAGAGCAGUGUAGGUCAUCACCUGUCAGGUGACUCUUGGAAGCAUUAAUGAGCAGCAGCCCAAGGCCAGGUGAAGUCAUCUGUGGGUUUUUUCCCUUUCCUCCUAAACCUGUGAUCUUUCCUCUCCUUGGGCAACCUGUCCUUCACCACCAUUAGCGUGGUCUCCCUUUUUUUCUACGUUCAGAAAUGGAACCACUUUAAUGACAAUUGAUGUCUGCUCCUGUGGGGUAGAGAGCGCUGUGGUGAUAUCAAAGCAUUUAUAAUAGAAUAGCUCAUCCUUGUGUUGGGAGAGGAAUAAUGGAUGUGAGAUAUGUCUUUAUAGUUAGAAAGCUAUCUAAAUUUAGAGUGCACUUGUGCAUUGUAGCUGAACUGAUACAUUGUCAUGCUGCUGCUGCAAGGGAAGGUUCAGCUCCCAGCGUUGUGCUCCCACUGAUCUUUUUGUGCUGAUGUGUGCCUGAUUCCUCCCAGUCCAACUCCCCGAAUCAGCUCACCGAGGACACAGGCUUGGAAGUAGGGGAAGAGAUCUCUUUUCUGCAGCAAGACACCAUUGGAUCUGCUGAGCUUCAGCGCAAAACCACGUCCUAAGUGAAGUCUCACAUGUCAGUGUUUAAAAGGUAUUUGCAGUUGUUCAGCUUUCUCUCAUAGAAUCAUUAAGGCUGGAAAAGACCUCCAAGAUCACCAAGGCCAACCCCCAACCCAUCCCGUCAACACCACUGCCCACGUCCCUCAGUGCCACAUCUCCACGGUUCUGGAACGCCUCCAGGGAUGGUGACCCCACCACCUCCCCAUGAGAAGUGAUGCGUGGGGCAACCAUCAGAAAAGCAGUGCUUUUGUAUUAUGGUGCUUUCCCAAAUCAAGUUGCUCCCCUGGAAAUAGUUGUGUUUGCUUACAGCCACCUUGCUUCAAAAAUGUGCAGGAAUUGUGGGCACGUUGUUUCUGCAGCAUACGCUCUGUGAUGUUUUCUGUGCUAGAGCCAGCUUGGAAAAUGAAUGAAAAAAGAAAUGUUUUGCUCAUUCUUGCUGGAUACUUAAUGGAGCUCAUUGGCAGCAGUGUUCCUUCCCCAGGGAUCUUUCUAGAGUCAUUAGGCUCAGUGAAGGAUGAUCUGGAAGAGUCUGCUUGUAAGAAACUGCUGCUUCUCUGAAGUGUGAAACGUUUCCUGGCUAUAGGAGCUGUCAGCCACCCCUGAGCAGCUGCAAAGAGAUAACAGAGGAGCUGGGAAGGGCAGAUUGAGAGGUUAGUACCUCUAUCCGUAAAUAAAUAAUAACACAUAGGGGCAAAAAAUCCUUCAACUUCAAGGAUAGUGCUACACCUGCAAAGAGAGGAGGGCAGGAAUUUGCUGCUUUUCUGCUCAGCUGGGCUGCCCUUUGGGAAACAGGCAUUUUCAAGAAGGAUUUUGAUGCAAUUUCCAGGUGUGACUGUGAUAAUGUUUUCAGUGCAGCAUUUUGAGGGAGAAACCUUUACUGAACAUAACCUUGGGCAAGAUUUAAAAAAAAAUCAAGGGUGAUAGGAAGUGAUAAAAGAGUUGGCAGUCACGCAACUAUGGAUAUGUGUGGGAAGGCCAAAAAUGUGCUCUGUUUCUUAUCAUAAAGAAGGAAACAACUCUGGUAUCAGGAAAGUAGAAGGCUGCCCUCUGACGGCUCCUGUCCUCCCGAGUGUCAGCCCAAGCACAGCUGUAUGUUGUGUUGCAGGGUCCUCACAGGGAGGUGGAUGUCCCAAAUGAGCUCCAAAGCCACGAGCAUUCGUUGGAAGGACCCCAGAACAGCAGCCAGGUACAGUCAGUCCAGCUGCAUCACAUUGCAUUGUGUUAAAACAGGGCAGCAGUUCUUGCCUGGAGGUGCCUUGAUUGGAAGGUGUCAUCAAGAUGAGGUGUACUGCGAAUAAAUAGAUUUCUGCAGGACUUGUUUGGUGUGCAGUGGAUGCAUUUAAUAAUGUCAUAGUAUUUACUCAUUUAUCUAGAAGCCAAGGGCAUAGGUGAAAUUUCGAGCCCCCCCCCAAAAUUGACUCUUAUCACUAAAAAUGUGGUUGAGAUGCAUUAUUUUAACUCCUGUGUUACCUCCAUCCUCAGUGAGCAGAUUGGAGAAGCAGCAGUGAGCUGUAUGGCAAAGGAAACAACCUGCAGCAUGGGAAGAGCCAGGGCUGAGUCUGGGUGCAGUGACCAUAUCCGGGUCCCCACAGGGGCGGGGGGUCAGAGCAGGUCUAACCAAUUGCAGCUGCAAACAUCUGCUGGUCCCACCCCAGAACUUUUCUCCUCACAGUGCCAGAUUGUAACAGCACGUGUAAUGCCGGCAUUACACCACUGGCUGUUUGCUUCUUUGGCCAGGUUUCAGAUUUGCUUGGUGUUAGGCACUGCCUUGGCCUUGGAUUGGCAGAGAGUAGGUAGUCAGUGUCCCACACAGUAGCCACUAAGCUGACUUCUCGGGGGUGUAUGCUGCUGUACAUAGCCUGGUUCUGCAAACUGUGCCUUGCAGCAGAAAGUUGCAGGCUCCCAAAAGAAGCAGCUCAGGCUGCCAAUGAGUCCAGGGGAAGCUUUUUGUCUCCUCUGCUUGGUCUCCAUGUCUUUAGGCAGGCAGGCCCAUGUGGCUGAAGAAGUGGGCUUAGAGAGCAGGUGGAGUUGUGAUGGACAGUUUGCAAAAGUCCUCACUACUGUGCUGCAUGCAGGGAAACGUGUCUGGAAAGAUGCUGAACCUGAGUAAAAUAUUCUAGACAGUGAGACUGGAUGGUUUGAAUGGCAGCUUGUAUCCCUAAGCUCCUAUUUCCUGACAGGUAUUUUAGUUUGAAGAAUGCUUUAAGUCGGUGUGCUCGCCACAUAGUAAGCCCCAUAGGUGGGCUGGUAAUUGCUGCUGAACUGGUACAUCCAAGGGAUUUAAGAUGGACUUGGCUUCACUAAGGCAUCAGUUGUCUCUGUAGCAAGUGCAGGACCUGUGCUUGUCUGGCCUGAGGGCAAUGGGCAUCACUCAGCAGCUGCUGCAUGAGCAGCACUGUAAGGCACAGGGGGUCUUUGUCAAGAGUUAAAGAAGAAAUUAAAGUGAAAACAAGGUUUUAAGCUAUAUAUUUUACACUGCUCAUUUCCAAUCUUCUCCUAGGCUAUGCAUAUGUUGAAAUGUUUUAAAAGUAGUCGAUUUUAUGCCUUUUGCUAUCUAAAGUCUUUGGAUGUGCUCCACUUAUUCUUAGGUUCCCUUUCCAUUUACAUCAUUAGAUGCAUUUCCAUAUGAAAUACAUACAUAAUCAGCUGUCUGAAGGGCAUUUUUAGAUGGGGAAGAACUCCAAAUAUUCAUAUUCUCAUGGUAAGAUUGCAAGCAUUGCCACACUGUGUAUUUUAGUUCACACUGUGUGUUUAUGCAUAUUCUUCCUGUCCCUGCAGAUGUUCCCAGCUUCUCUUUAUAGAUCCCAAACACUGACCCUUCUCUCGAAUACUAAAUUCUCCAUGUCAGUUUAGCUAAUGACUGUUUUGGUUUUUUUUAGAUAUAAGCUCGAUUCUGCAGACAACGGGAAUGAAUGCAGGUGUCUCAAAUUCUUCAUGCCUCUUUCUGAUAAAUAUUUCACCAGCCUUUCUUUCUCCCUGCUUGCACUCAGGACGCUGGAUGACAUUUGCACUAACAGUGUUUUAUUUUAUCAUGUUGAAGAGCAUUGUAGAUAUUGCCAUAUAGAAUAGGCAGCUCCUUUGGAUUGGUAGCAGUUGCUGUUGACGGCUAGGCAUAAAGCUACUUUCAAAUACUUAUUGUGCUGAUACAACAUGUAAUUAAAGGGAGGAUGGAUGAAACUUGUUUGCUGCUGGAUUCACAGGCGCUUGCCUGGGGCUCAGCGAGGAGGAACUCAGCCAAAGCUGAGGCUCCAGUCCCUAAUUGGAGCAUCGCGUGGGGGAGAUGCGGGAAGCAUUCCUCCUCUUUCAGCAGAGCAGAGCUGGUGUGACGGCAGGCAGGUUGCUGGGGGUGACAAGGGCAUGCUUUUCCCUCCCUGCUGUGGAGCUCUUGAACUGGCAGCGCGUGAUCUGAGUGUAGGUAAGUGGCCCGAGAGCAUAGGACGUGUCCCUGGGCUGUGACUGUACAGCGGUGGGUGGCUGUAAAGCAGUGUUGGGAAGCAGCAGUCCCACAAGGAGUAGAGCAGAAGUGAGGGAGACAUUUCAGAGCGUGAAGCCCUGCAGUCUCGUAAGGCUGAAUCACUGUGAUAAAGAAAACUUGAAGGAAGAGCAGUUGACAUGUUUCGUUUUUUUUUUUAACAAAUUAUAAAGGGGCAGUAUUGCUUUAAAGCUCGUCUGCAGCAUUUGUAUUCACCUCUGCUGUUGAUCUGCACAGCCAGAGCUGGCUGGCUUCCUUGUGAAGUCAAGAUUUCUGCUGGGGCAGUAGGCAGGGGAAAAACAGAAGCCUCAUCAUCUCUGCCCUGGCUAUAUGCUGGGGACAGCCGCUGGACUGGGCAGGGUAAUGCGUGCUUUUGAUGCUUAGUGUAUCUAUGGGGCAUUUCAUAAGUAGAUACCUGAUGUGAAAAGUACCAGAGAUAUUCAUCCCCUUCUUUACAAAAUAAGGAUAAAUACUUCUUGAUCUGCCAAAGCGGGCUGUGUGGAUUUAAUUAACUUUAGCAAAAUGCUUGUGGAUAGCAGCUUUCAUUUGAGAAGGUAAAGGCAACAUAUAUUCUAGGCAUUCUCACUCAGCUUUGCAAUUAUUCCUCCAGCUGUCGUGAGCUGUGCCAACAAAAACUACUCUCCUGUCAUCAAGGGAUUGUUGGUGCCUCGUGACUUGUUUUGGUUUUGAUAUUCUCUUUCCCCCAACUCAUUCUCCACGAUCUCUAUGCGAAAUAUAGCAUGUUCUCCAAAUCUGGGGGGUAGAAUAAAACCUUUUCUGCCACAAACUGUGUCUCAUGUCUGCCUUGCCCUCCUCUUUUGGUCUCUGCCCUUGGAGAGGAGGAGAGAGGGGGUCUUUUUUUUAUUAUUAUUUUUUGUAUUAUCAAGUUACUAUGAGCCUGGAUAGUUAAGACCUAUAGCUUUGCUCUUCCAAAUGCUAAGCUUGUUGCUAACAAUACUUUUUGAAGGUCUCCCUGUAAAAGUCAAUACUACUCAAAUUUAGUUUAUUUACAGUUUCCAAGAGAAUUAAGUUAAGCCUACCUGCUUUUAGAUUAAGAAGUUAGAAGUUCAACUCAGGUUUCGCCACAGCUUCCCUACAGGACCCUAAGCAGAUGUAAAAUGGGAAGAGUAGAAUCAUAGAACCAUCAACGUUGGGAAACACCACUAAGAUCAAGUUCAGUUCUCAACCCAUCACCACUAUGCUCACUAAACCAUGUUCCUCCAAUGGAGUACCUCCAUUCCCCAAUAGGUUCACUGCUGUUGGUACUUCCUUUGGGACUGGAUCCUUGCACAGCUUCCACAUCCAUCCUGACAUGUCCUCGCCACAGAAGUGGAUGCACACUGCAAAGGUUGGGUGAGUUUUCAAGUGGACUUGAGCACAGGCUGCCUCCCAGGGAAGCGUGUGUUCAUGCUGGAUCGUGUUGCUUCAGCACUUAAAGCCUUGCUCCUGUUUGCAGUUCAGAGUAAUGUUCUGGGAGAGCAGGCAGGAGCUUGUCCCACCGCACACAUCUGUUGGACAGUGAGCUAGCUCUUUGUGACAAACUCUUUUCUUAUUGGCAGAGGCUUAAGAAACAGAAGAUUGAAAUACAACAUGAUAACUUCUUUUUCCCUGAUCAGAUCCCGAGUCAUACAUCGCAGAGUACAUGGCAGGAUGCAGUUGUUCGCUGAUGCUUCUGGCUUGAGGGAUUUGAUGCUCCAAAUUGAAUUGAGUAUCUCUGGCUCCCACUAAGGGGUGUGGGAGUUGUGUGACUUCAUGAAGAUUUGUGUCCAUGUUUGUCUGUGUGAACUUCAUUCUGAGAGUUGUCUGACUCCCACAUGAAAUGUAGCAAUCUUUCUUCUCCCUGGAAGAGAAUGCUGAAUUCUGCCAAGUGUGUCGGUAAUUGUUUUUAUAACAAUAAAUCUCAGCAUGGUGCAAGUGCUUCAAUCCUUGCUGGAAUCUGUGAUAUUUGUUGGGUGAGGACAGCAGUAGCAGAGGCACAACCCAGCACUGCCUCCCUGUGCUUUGAUGCCUUAAGAGGGAAUGGAAGAUUAUUGAGUGAACGAUAACUUAACAAACAAGUUUGAUGAGAACAAGAGAUGAGCUCAUCUGAGCAUCAUAAUAAUUACUUGCUCCUCCAUGCAACUGUUAAGGCUUGAGCUUGUCACCACGUUUCCAGCUUUGCUUGGCCUGCCUAUUCUCUGUCAUGGAAGUGGUGUGCUGAGAGCGAUGGUCAUGGUGCUGGUAAAGUGUUCGCUAUGUUUGUUUGGGAAAUGUCAGGAAAAUAUUGCUUGCUAUAUGGAAACAGUUGUGCUUCAGUGUCUGUUUCUGAAAGGUUGAUUCUUUCCUUCUAUCCCUUUUUUUCCUAUUGACCGCAUGCCCCGUUUCGGGCAAGGCAUGCAGCUCUUGGGGCAGCUGGUACCAGCCACCUUGGGUGGGGGAAUGAAGGGUGGUAGGCUUCAAGCACAAGCUUGGGAGAGGAAAUGAAGCAAGCUUCGGGGAUUUCAUGUGCAAAAUUUGGUUCGUGUUGAGUGAAAUGAGUAAGUGGGAGGCUGUCAGGCUGCAUCCUUGGAUUAGGAGCUAAACUCUUCUCCAUUGGGCAUCAUCCUGUGGCUUUAACGCUGAAAAAUGGGAGUCGUCCUGAUCUCAUGGGACUUUUUCAUGUUCCAGUAGAGCUUCAUUACCUGAAGAUGGCUCAAAAUUGCAUCUCUGAAUUUGCAUUUCUGUUGUUUCAAGCACAGCCUUGUGUGUCAUUGCUGGAUAAUUCCUUUCAGAUACAGGGAGCCAUUGCGACGUGUUUCUCUCUCUCAGCUGCCUAUUAGCUACUUCUAGCUCUGGGGCUCUUCUGUUCCUGGAUCAGCAGAGAUCACCAAAUGAGUUUGUCAUUAUUUGUUUUCUUCUGCAUGUCUUAAUUAUGGCAUUUAGAGGGGGACUUUUCCCAUCUCUAUCUUGUUUACUAGAUCUUGUUGGAGGUCCUCCCUUUUGGCUUGAAUUUAAUUGCUGAAUUGUAUCUCAGGAACUUCAGCUGGUAUUCAGCCACCCCUCGCUUUAAAAGCUGAGUGGAAGUCCAUUCCUUCUGCUUGACCUCUGUUGCCUUUUUGAUUUCCCUAGCAGAUCUGCUUUUCUGAAGCUGUUUUCCCUAAAAUGGUGUGCUUAAUUCCAUUCGUACCCUCUGAGCAGCCUUUUUCGCUCAAUAGAGUUGAUGCAAUGAAAUGAACUUGGAAGAUUAAUUUGUUAUUCUCUGAUAUUUCCCAAUUCCCCAACCUCCCAUUUUUUUGCACAGAAACCUCCCACUGAGCUCUUUUGGAAGAGCUUUGUUUCUCAGCUUUUCUCUUAAAGGCUGGCUUCUGGGCUACAGCACAAGGAUAAUAGCCUUAAGUGUCCUAUAAUGCUUUUCAUUUGCAGGCUCUCUAAGCCUUAGACCACUGUAUGUUCAUAUCUCUAUGGAAAUACAGCUGUCUGGGAGAUGGAAAGAUUAUUAUCAGCUAGAAGUAGUCAGGAAGAAGGCCUUCCAGAGGACGGUCACAGAAAUGGUUAGAAGACCAGAACACCUCUCCCAGGGAGAAGGGCUGAGACACCUUGGGAGUAUUUAUCUAUAGAACAAGGGGUAAAUGGCUUUAAGAUAGAAUCACAGAAUCACAGAAUGGCUUGGGUUGGAAGGGACCCCAAGGAUCAUGAAGCUCCAACCCCCCCACACAGGCAGGGCCACCAACCUCCACCUCGAAUACCAGCCCAGGCUGCCCAGGGCCCCAUCCAACCUGGCCUUGAACACCUCCAGGGAUGGACGGGGCAUCCACAGCCUCUCUGGGCAGCUGUUCCAGCACCUCACCACUCUUAUAAUAAAGAACUUCCGCCUGAUAUCCAACCUAAAUCUUCCCUCCCUCAACUUGUAACCAUUUUCCCUUGUCCUGCUGUUAUCUACCCUUGCAAAGAGUUGAGUCCCCUUUUGUUCGUAGCCUCCCUAAAAUAAAAGAGGAUUAGUUUGCAUUGGGUAUUAUAAGGAAAUUUUUUACAACGAGGGCAUUGCUCAAGGCCAGGCUGGAUGGGGCCCUGGACAGCCUGGUCAAUGGGAGGUGUUGCUGCCCAUGCACCCACUGCUUUGUAUCACUUACCAGUCUUGUGUGUGUUGAGUUCUUUCUGUGCACUGCAAGCUCACCACAUCAUCAAAUGAAAUAGGCCUUUCCUGUGCCUCUACCCAGCAAGAUGCCUCCAGUCUGGCAGAGCUGGAUUCAUUUAUUCAUUUUAAAUUAUUUUAAACCCAAUAAUGUUGCCUCUCCCCUCCCUAUCCUUUUUUUUUCCAGAGUAAUAAAGCAAUAAAUUAGAAAAGCUUCUUUUAUGCUUUUAGGAAAUUGCAAUUUUUGUUUAUGUGUCUUCUGAAAUCUACAAGGAGAGAAAGUGAACGUUUCUGUGGAAUGUAAGGGUUUUGAAGAUGCUCCAAAAAUACUCAAAACCAAAUGAAAGGUUGAGUGCUUCAUGGAUCUGUUUUCUCCUGGAAAAUGGUUUUGAUUUUGUGAACGUACUAAAGGCUGAGUAAUCUUGUUUAGAACUUGGUUCUCAGGGCAAGUUGGCUUUGAACCUCUUGAAUCUCCGCGCAUAAUUCAUCCUUCCUGGCAAGUGCUCCCAUCUUGGUGUUCCUUGUAAAAUCAGUAAGUGGAGAGAAAGGAGAAAAGCAAGUGAAAGGAUCUUUGAGUGAAGGGCAGAGAUGCUGCUUUUGCAGGCACUCGGAAGAAAUGAAAUUGGAGCAAUUUUCCUCAUCUCAAGCUGCUGUUCUUUUUCUAUGUAUUGACUUUUAAAAUCUUGCUCAUUCUCCUAUUUCUGCUGGGAGGGGAGCACUUGUACUCCAGCUGAACUCCAGCAGAUGGCUGUUAGGUAAGUGCGUGAUCAUGAGAGAGACCUACAAUUUCGCUCAAGCAUCACAGAUUAAAUAACAUUUCUCUCUAUAAAAAGCACACAUACAUUCUCUUAAUGUUAGGCCUUGUAUAUUUUAUCGUGAAGCAAUCUCAUCUACUGAAACAUGUUACAGAACUGUAACAGAUUAUCUCCUUAGAUUGUGGUGGGUUGUUUUGUAAGCUGAGACUUUCCAUGCCUCUGACUUGUAUGGGCAGCUUUGGUUGGCAUCAAUAACUAUGGUCUCAGCAUUGGUUUGAGGCCGGGAGUAGACAUGUGAGGCUCUUGUGUGCGGGUACCGGCUGUCACCAACAUGAUAAUGCUCUUUUGUCAUGAGGAUUAAAAGUAUACUGCUCCCUUCCCUAAUGAGUUCAUUAUUUAAUUAUCAGGUAAAGGUUAAAUGAGUGAAUUAAAUGUGGUUUAAUCAGCCUGAUGAUUCAGUUUGAUCUGAACGUGGUUUUUAAAUUUUAAACAUUUCAAUUCUCUCAGUCCUUUUUGUUUAGCUGUUAGAGGGAAUGCAGCUGGAUUUAUUUGUGUACCUGUUCCCUUUGUGCUGGAGGAAGCACCUCAGGCUGUGCAAACCAUGCUGCAGGAGCAUGUGGUCCUUCUGGACUUUCUUUCAUCUGCAAGCACUGAAAACUAAUUACAGUGAUGUGUCACCUGGAUCUGCUCCUUUUCAGCACUUACAGAGCCUGUUCCAUGCAGGACAGUAUGGCAUUGCCAGGACUUCCCAGAGGGUGUUUUCCCUCUGCACCCAGUGCUGUACCAUGAGUAUUUUAAAACAGGGAGGCUUAAAACAGUGGGUAGGAAGAUGGACAGUGUUCUGGUUCCCAGUGCUGUGGGUUGGUUUCAGAGCAUUUUGGGGAAGAAGAGAAGCAUUCACUUCAUUUUUUUUCCCUCUUAUUUUCUUCAAGCCAGGACUUUUUGAUGGCCCUGUAGGUCAAGUGUUUUCCCAGGCAGGAGGACAGGAUAAUCAGUUAAAAGCUGAAAGCUCUCGGGACCAAGAAUGCCUGUUCCCCUCAAGCUGCGGUAUCUCAGCAGUAAAGCUGGAAUAUGUCGUGUAUAGAAACCUUGAAGGGCCUCCUGAACUGCUCAAAGAAGAGAUUUUCUCAAAUCUUUGAUUUUUAUCAAAUGUGUUUUAGUCAUCGAUGGUGGCCUGUUGGCAGGAGCAUUGGGAUUGAAUGCUUUCUUCUGUCACGAUGGUAUCAGAGUGUGCAGGUUGCUGUGUGGCAGGUGAUAAGCGCAGUCCUGUCUAAUCCCACAGAGAGCAGUUACUGCCCACAAAGGGAGCAUGUGAAGCAGCUUCUUACUCACUCUUACAGGGAAUUUGUGUAUUUCUUGUCAGUGUGAUGUGAGCAAAUUCUCAAAAAGCUAGCGUGUAUUUGGAAGAUGGAAGUAUUUCUCUGCACAUCGUCUCCCAGGAUGAGAGGUAAUGGCCUUAAGUUGCACCAAGGGAGGGUCAGGAUGGAAAUUAAGAGAAAUUUAUUCUCCAGAAGAGUGACCAAGCAUUGGACCAGGCUGCCCAGGGGGAUUUGUGGAGUCACUAUCCCUGAGUUGUUCAAGAACUGUGGAGAUGUGGCACUGAAGGACAUGGUUUAGUGACGGGUUGACAGUUGGACUUCGGGAUCUUGGAAGUCUUUUUCAACCUUAAUGAUUUUACAAUGCCUCCACAUCCAUCCACGGGCACUUCUUGCUGGGCAGUUCACCUGGAAGUUCCUUAUGUGGGGGUAGCUGAACAGUAGGAAGCUCCAUGAGCUCUAUUGGAGAGCCUGAAGGCUGUUGAAGGGCACUUGCUUGUGGGAAGGGUCAUUUCAUAGGAUUCUUUGAGUUGGAAGGGACCUUUAAUGGUCAUCAAGUCCACUUAAAGGUCAUAAAGUUCAAAUCCGUCAGGUCCCCAGCCUGUGCCAUUCCAUGACCCUUACUGUGGGGCUGUUUGGACCAACCCUGUUUAGAUAUAAUAUACUGCUGUAGACACAGCCACUGGGUUUGGUCCUUACCCCUGUCAUUUAGCUACUUGUGUGUAUGGCGGUCUGUGUAGGGUCUGGGCUCUUCCCAUUGAGGCACUGUCUUCCCAGAUGGCACCACGUUGUUGUGGCCACCUCUGUUUGUGUUGCAGUGUGCAGCAGUAUUGCUAUUCAGCUUCUUGGUAAUAAUUUGGCCUUCGUAUGGCAGGGUUCUGUUAGAGUUUCUCUUGUUGGAUUUACUACAAAGGUAUUACUUUGUCUUCCUUCAUUAGGAAAUUGCUCUGUAGCCCCAUCUGCAGCCUUAAAACUCUAUUUUUGCGUCAGCUUUGCCUAUCACAGGACAGAUUCUUUCCCUGCCUGUCUAUGCCUCCAAAUAUUGAUGUAAUCCUGGCAAAUUCCAUCCUUGCCUGUGUGUUCUGUGCUUGAGGUGAAAUGAAAACACAGGGAAUCCAAACAAACUGGUUCACCAGAGAGCUUGAACUACAAGUCCUGGUCAGGAGGCAGCCUCAGUUUCUUUAUACAUUAUGGCUGGAACUUGAAGACUUCACAAAAAAUGUUGGUUUUCUGUUUGGUUUGUUGGUUGUUUUUCUUUUUUUAAGGGAAUGUUUUGUUUUGUAGUGUUCUCUUGGUUUUUUCUGAAGUACAUGACAAUGAAAUGUGUUUGCUCUUCAUGUCUAAGGCACAUAAAACAUCUCGUGUUAGUAGAACUAGAUGCAGUUGAGACUAACAGAUAAAAUGUGUGAAAAGAGGAUAUUUUUAUUCCUCUGUAUUGUUGAAUAGGAAUUUCCCAUGGAAGUCUGGAUAUUCAAUUUCCAUUUGCAAACACGAUUUUAUUUCCUUGUUGGCUCAGAUCCACGUGAUAAUACUGUAUUUCCAACCUCCACAUGCACCUUUCUUGGAUGUGAUUUCUUCUUUAACAUGUAUGGGACUGCAGACUGAAAACAGGUCUCUGUUGUUGGCUUUACUCACUUCAGUGCUUCUUCAUAGUUUGUGCAGUCCGGAGAGCUUCUCCCACUGGAAGCUAAAUAAAAUCAAAAGAGAUCGGAGACUUCAGCCUCGUGGUUCUUCUUUGCAACAGCUGGGUGCUUAUCAGAGAUGUGCACAAUGGAAAGGAUGUCUCAGAUAGCCACCAGCUGUUAUCUGUGUGACCAGUGUGUGCUGAUUGCUCGAGUUACUGCAAGUUCCAAAGUUAUGUGUAAUUACCAGGAAAUUACCAUUAUUUGGGUCAUUUUGAUAUCUUCAAGUUGCCUUUCAUAUAUGUGCAUUUCUUGUUACACCCAUAAUUAAUAAUAAAAAAAUCAUGGCUGAAGGAGCAAGCUGCUACAGACAGCAUUUGUGUACCAGGGCUCUAUGGGAUUGUGGGGAAGUUCCUGCUUGGAGCAGCUUUGCAUGGAGAGAAAUACUUGUGUGUAAUAUUCAGCAAGUGUUGUGUACAGGUCUUCUGUCUGUUCUGGUUAGCUGACCCCAUUGAUUGUCAGUGGAGAUGCUGAUACUUUUGAAGUAAGAACAAAAACCCUACCAAAACUCAACAUUUUGCAUAGAAGCCAAGUCAUGAGGCUUAUUUAUUGGGAAUCAAAGUUUCUGCAUCUGACCGAAGUCUGGAUUUGGGUUUGUUGUCCCCAGUUUGAAUGAAUGUGAAGACUGAGAAUGAACUUGAAUUAAUCUAGUCCGUGCCAUCCUUAAUGGGAUUGCCCCUCUCCAAAUGUCUCUGCAUGUAAAGGUUCCUGGGUUUCCCUCUGAUGUGACAGGAGUCCUGCGGAGGCUUGGGAAAAGUCUGUUGAACAAAGUGCACAGUGCAAACCUGAAGGAGAUGCAGAGCUUCCCUGUGUAGUAUGAAAUGGAGGCACUUUGAUGGAAUACAGUUAAUGGAGACUCUGUUAAUGAGGUCGCUGACCCUGGAAGUGCUCAGGAGACAUGGGAAUGUUUGGCACAUUGGCUUAGUGGCCAUGGUGGUGAUGGGUUGAGGAUUGGACUAGGUAAUGUUGGAGAUCUUUUCCAACCUUAACGAUUCUAUGAAAGCUUAAGAUUUUAGGAUCGAGGGGAACGUAGAACCCAUUUGAUCUUUGAGCAUUCAUUCACAGGGGUGCAUUGUCUCCAGAGUUCUUAUUCCUUAAUUAUGGCUCUGCCUUUGGUGCUGGGAUGCAUUCAAGCAGCUCACUGGUGGACAGUGUUGAGAAGCAUCCAGGACUGGUCUGAAGCUUUUCUCAAAAUCAUGGAGUGGCCCGGGUUGGAAGGGACCUCAAGGAUCAUGAAGCUCCAACCCCCCUGCCACAGGCAGGGCCGCCAACCUCCACCUCUAAUACCAGCCCAGGCUGCCCAGGACCCCAUCCAACCUGGCCUUGAACACCUCCAGGGAUGGACGGGGCAUCCACAGCCUCUCUGGGCAGCUGUUCCAGCACCUCACCACUCUUAUACUUCCCCGUGACAUCCAACCUAAAUCUUCCCUUCUUCAGCUUAAAACUAUUUCCCCUUGUCCUGUUAUUACCUACCCUUUCAAAGAAUUGACUCUCCUCCUGUUUGUAGGCUCCCUUUAGGUACUGGAGUUUCUGUUCUCCAGGCUGAACAAGCCCAGCUCCCUCAGUAUGUCUUUGUAUAGGGGUGGUGUUGCAGCCCUCUGGUCAUCUUUGUGGCCCUCCUCUGGACCCUCUCCAACAGCUCCCUGUCUUUCUUGUAUUGAGGUCCCCAGACCUGGACGCAGUACUGCAGAUGGGGCCUCCCAAGGGCAGAGUAGAGAGAGACAAUCACCUCCCUGUCCCUGCUGGCCACCCCUCUUCUGAUGGAAGAGGCUGCAGUUGUACCUCUCCACCCUGCAGCAAUCCCCAUGAACCUCCUGCACUGCCUUUUACCACUGUUCUGCCAAGGAGUGGGCCAGUGUGCAUUGAGCCUGAACAAAUGGUUCAUUUGCAUGGUUAGUUCACGUGUUUGCAAAGUCUGUUUCAUGCUAUAAAGCACUGGGCUUCAUUUCUGAUGAGCAGGUGCUGUGCAUGUGAGGAGACAUCACACCACCAGCUGGGGUAGAGGAGGAAUCUGCUACUGGAGUGUUGAGUCAGGACUCAUAGCUGGUGUUUGGGAAACUUUGCUUUGAAAAGUUGGCAGAGGUUCUUGGCUUGCAGAUGGGAAAAGAUAACCCUGCUGGGCUUCCUGGGCUUAGAAGUGGUGCUGUGCAGGAUCUGUUCCUAGAGAGAGUUUGGUGAUGUUGCAAAUUGUGGAAGAGGAAUGGUGGGCAUCCUGGGCUGCUCUGUAAAUUAAUCAGCAUCUCCUUAGCUUUCUGUUAUUAAGGAGGUAUCACCUAGACUUUUGCAAAAUCUAACUUCGUACUGAACUUCUGAAUUUGAUUCAAAGCCAGAAGUGUGGGAAAAAAACCAAACAACUGAUGAGGGGCAACUCUUAACUUCAGACCUCCCAUAGAUAGGGAGCCAGGCGUUGGGGUGACUGUGGGGAUUUCCUAAGCUCCACCUCGCUCCAGCUCUGCCCUCACCAAAUCCAGAGGCAACAAUACCAAUUAUUUCAGCAGGAGCUGGGGUGGUCUUGGAAAGCCCCAGCGAUGCUGUAUUCUUAACAGUGAAUUUCUCAGAGACGUUUCAGAGCUGUGGGAGUUGUGCACAGCAGGUACCUGGGAGGAGAUGGUGUCUGAUGCUGUACAGCACAGUAGGUCAGUGUUGCCAAGUGGUACUCGUGACACCCUAGAAGCAAAGCACAGCUUUGUCUGUUCUCUGACCACUGCAGUGUUGUGCUCUGCCUUCAGACUGGCGUGUGAUGGUUGAAGUGAGCACGAAGCAUUGCUCUGCUGCCUUUCUUCCAGGGAUCUGGCAAAGCUCCAAGCUGUGAAUCCUGUAAUACAAAGAUGCUGAGUAACCCGUUGGAUUGCUGUGCUGCAGGUGGGUUUGGAUACACAAAGUGAGAUGGGAGUGUAUAUACUGACAAUAUUUUUUCACUUCUGCUGCAUCUCUUCUUUCUAGAUUACCUCCAAGAUGAACUAGGAAAAGGUGCCCAAUGCUAGGAUACAUUCAAUUCUAACAGAAUUUCAAAUGCCAGAGCUGCGUUACCAAAGUACAAGCAAUAAGCACCCCCUCUCCUCCUUCCUUUGAUUCUUUUCUUCUUCUUGAACUGUGCAGUUUGGGUCUGAUGGAAGAAGAGAGGCCAGGAGGGUUCUACAGAGAGUUCUUGCUUGCUCCUGGCAUGUCCCACUCCUACGCUCAGGUUUUAUUUUGGAGUUUGAAAGCUAUGAAAUAAUUUAAGCUGGACCAGCAAGGAAUACUGGAUUAUUAUUGUUACUUUUUCGUGCCUCCGAAGUCAUCAUUUGAGACCAUCAAGAGAAAUAAGUUCCCAAAUAAAUUCCAUGGUAGUGUGGGGCUGUGGGCAUGGCUUGGCACGAGUGUCUCCUUGAAUUCCUAUCCAAGUGGGAUGGUUGAAGGGACCAGAUGGAUCAAUGCUGUGUAAUUAAGUCCUUUGGUCUUGUUACAGGCAAAUUUGUAAGAUGCUUUAUGUCCUGCUGAACAGGAAGUUGCUCUUGAUUACAUUCCUAGCCUCAGUUGCUAUUUGUAGCCCGUGAGAUCCCCUGUGAGUUCCUGAGGAAUGCUGCAAACCGGAGCAGAUGAAGCAAAUUCCCUGAGGUUGCACAGAAGGUCUGAGACACAGCUGGGAAUACAGCCCCAGUCACCCGACACCCCUCACUUUAACUGCUGCACAGGAAUUUCCUCCUAACGUGCUUCUAAUAGAAACUGCAGGGCCAAAUUAAGUGGGCAGAUUGCAGUCACUGCUGCUGAGCUAUCCCAGCUGUAGAAUUACUGCAGCCCUGUGCUCUUUGCUACUAAUUUGGGAAGUUUGCUGUCCUUUCCCCUCCAGUGCUCCACCUUGCUGCAUUCCAGGCUCCUCGUUGUGGGAAAAGAGCUCAAAUGACCGUGAAGAGCCCAGAUGUUGUAUCUGGGGGGUAGGAAGCACAAAGGAGCUACCCCUGAUUCGUAGAGCUAAGAACAAGGAGAGCAUUAAUGUCCACCUACGUUUGGCUUGGUGGGCAGAUGAAGGAGGCACACAGAGCAGAGGGCAGGCAGGCAGCUCGCUGGGUUUAUUUCUCAGCAUUUCCUUUUAUUAUUUGCCUUACAGGAGAGCCUGCAGGCCUGACGGGAGUUCAGGCCCCUGUUAGGACAUAGGCUGAGCAUGAAGUGAAUAUGAGAUUCCACGUGCUUUAGGUGAAUCUGAGAUCAAGCUAGUAUGGUGAGCUCUAGGAAGGAAGGCAGCAGCUGUGUGACACAGGCCAGCAAUAAACAUAGUUUUAUAAGGUUGAGAUUGUGCCAAGAGUUAUGUUGUUAUCUACUCCUGGCACAGUGAUUUCAAGUCAGCAGUAGUGAGUGGGAGAGCACACGUGGGCUUUUGGGGGACUGGAGAGUGUCUGGAUGCCGAUGUCUCUCAUUAUGGAAGGGUUGGAGAGGGUACGGAACAACAUGAUCAAAGUACCUUUUGUUCCCUGCAGCAUAGAUUAUAGUAAUGUUGCUAUGGCCACAAAUCUUCCUUAAAUUGCUGCAGCCAAUUCAUGAAUUUCCUUUUUUAUUACAUUCUAAUGUUGAAAAUCAGCUAGGCUGCCAGAAACCUCUCCCAAGGAAAGCUCUACUGUUGACGAUGUCGAGAGCUGCACCCGAGCUGAGGGCAGGUAAUGAGUAUUGCUGUAUGAGGGGGAUGCUGGGAAGAGAAUCUCUUGCUGGUAUAAUUUUGGGAUGUGUUUGAGGCUGAAGUAAUUAAAUUAAUCCUAAAUAUCUAACUGCUCACUUACAUCCCAUGACUGCCUAUUAAUUAGUUACUCUUGUCUCCGGGGUAUUUGGAGUACCAGGAUACCUGAGCCGUAGGCACUCUGAUCCUGUAAGUGUAUCCUGCUCUGCUCUGCUCCCUGCGGUGCUUUCUCCGGAAGCCUUGGGGCCAGGCAGCUUCCUCAUCCCAUGCACAGCAGCAGGGUUUCCAGAGCUGGGCUGUGACAUCUCUGGCAAUGCCUCCUGCUGCUGCAGUGCCUGCAAGGCUCUAUUUUAUCCUUCUGUCUGCAGCUUUGCUCGCUCACAAAGGAGCUUGUACUGUACAGCGUGUCUCAGGCAGCCCAGCCAAACAAGUGACCCUUCAGCAGCCUUCAGUUCUUUGAGACCUGAACACCGGGGGGUGAGAGACUUCUGUUUGCUUUUCUGCCUGUUCUCAGUCAACCAUUCAUUCCAUCUCUCCUGAAAUCACUCAGCCAGCAGAACUCCUCCUGGCUUUGUGGGUGGGGAGGAAAGGAGCGGGGAGAAAGUUGGCUUUGGCUGCUCCACAGCUUUCCCCACUGGUGGUUUGGAGAUGCUCAUGUUUUGGGGUGCUAAUGCUUUGUCUGACAGCUCCUGAACUGAUCUCUGGGGUUGCAUUAGGACUCUGGGACCGAGCUGUAAAGAAGAGGCUGCUAAAUGCCACCCAUUCUGCUGUCACUGACUGCUUCCAGUGGCCCCGGGCAAAUUAUUUAGCUCUUUCUUGCCUUAAUUUACCUAAUUCCUGCUUCUUGAUAUCUAGAGGUUCAGGUAAUCUGUGUUGUACAUUAAGGUAGCGGUGGUGAAGCUCUCUUUUCUUACAGCAAAGUAAACAGCAACACCCCUGUCUGCCAUGUUUAGUGUGGCAGCUCACAGGUGAGGACUCACCCGUUUCAGCACGGUUGCUAGCAGGUGAUAUUGGUAUAACCAUCUUGUCUUGAAGUUAAACUAUGUCAUUUAGGCAAGUUUAUCAGUUUGGUGCCCGUUGAAGCAUAUCCUUGGUGCAUACUGUCUUCUGAAUCAUGGAUUAGGCUUUAUUGAUGGGAGGGAGAGGACGAAGGCAUGAGGAAUGGAGAUGGAAGCAGAGGAAGAGAAGACCAAAUAAGGAAUGACAGAUGAGGAGAUAGGCUCAGAUUGUAGGUGGAGGUUGUGUGCCAUAAUCCAUUGCACUUUCUUCUUUGUUUUUACUUCCUUCUCCUGCUACUUGUGCUGACAUUUUGAGUUAAUUUCUAAGAAAAGAAAAAAAAAAAACCCACAAACUGCUUUUGCUGCUUCAAAAGCAGGAAAUCCUCAUUAACUGCAGUGCAGCUUUAUCAGCCCAUUCUCACGCUGGCAGUCUGAGCUUUACCUCCUUUUUUCUUCUCAGAAAGAGAGCUGAUGCAUUGGAACAGGCUGCCCAGGGAAGUGGUGGAGUCACCAUCCUUGGAGGUGUUUAAGAAAGGUCAAAUGUGGUACUUAGGGAUGUGUUUUAGUGGGUAAUACCAGUGGUAGGUGGACAGUUGGACUAGAGGAUCUUAGGGGUCUUUUCCAACCUUACUGAUUCUGUGAUUGAAUUCCCCUUGCCAUGUCCCAGCAGGUUGGUCAGCCUUUUGGUAACCUCUGGGAGCUGCAGGAGUGGCUGGAAAAGUCAAGGCUAUGCUGGACAGAGUUGGAGCACUCCAGCAGCCUCUGGGCUCAGCAGCGUGGAGGUCUUUUGUCCCAUGUCCGUGGCGAGUUCUUACGUCACCCAACAAAGUGUUAGUGUUCUCCUACUGGAUUUGACAGAGGAAAUUUAUGUCUGGAAGAAGUCAUAAAGAACCCCUUUCCCCACAGCUGACUUCCUAAAUGACUUCUCUUUUCCCCUGCGUGACAUUUUUUUGCCAUUAUACAGAACUAUUUAUAUGAAGUGUCACAAAUGCGUGAUGAGAAAGACCACCUCACCACCCUUCUAACACUAAAUCAUCUUCGGGGCUGCAGGACUUGGUUUUGCUCUGUAUCUUUUGUAAAAAUUUCCUGUACUGCUCCCUCUGUAUGCCAUCAAAUGUGGAUAAUGAAUACUGCAGAUCCUCCUUUUGUGUGCAUGGAGGAGGAAUGGGGAUGUUUUUUCUGGGCAAGGAUCAUGAGGAGGUAUUCCCCAGCUCUGUUCAUGGGAUCAGUGUUCAGCAUUCUUCUGUAUUUCAGCCCUACACUGUUGCCUUGAUUGUUCUGAAAUUACUUAUCUGAAAGAGGGAGAGGUUCAUUAUGAUUAUUGGCUCUGAAAUCACAGAAUCACAGAACGGCCCAGGUUGGAAGGGACCUCAAGGAUCACGAAGCUCCAACCCCCUGCUGCAUGCAGGGCCACCAACCUCCCCAUUUAAUACCAGACCAGGCUGCCCAUGGCCCCAUCCAACCUGGCCUUGAGCACCUCCAGGGAUGAGGCAUACACAGCCUCUCUGGGCAGCUGUUCCAGCACCUCACCACUCUCUUGGUAAAGAACUUCUCCCUGAUAUCCAACCUAAAUCCUCCCUUCUUCAACUUAAAACCAUUUCCCCUUGUCCUGCCAUUAUCUACCCUUUCAAAGAGUUGACUGCCCUCCUGUUUGUAGGCUCCCUUUAGGUACUGAAAGGCUGCAUUGAGGUCACUCUGCAGCCUUCUUUUCUCCAGGUUGAACAAGCCCAGCUCCCUCAGCCUGUCAAAUUAUCGCAUUAAAUAUCUAUGAUUGGUAUUCUUAUUCUGAUCUUGCAGUGUCCUGGGGUUUUCAGCAAGCAGAAGUGAAUCUGGACACCUGCACUUUCUGUUAUUGGGAGUGUGGUGCUUACCAACCUCCUUCAAUGCCCCCUCUAGCAAAGAAUGGGUUCAGGGCAAUCCGUGGCGUGGAUCCCAUGGAACCUUGUGGCAGGGUGAUAGCAACCACUGAGAGUUUUCUGUCCCUGAGAUUAAUAUCAUACUGUUUGAAAUAAGCAUUUGUAAUUACUUCAUAAAGAGAUCUGUGAGUACAGCUAAGAUAGACCUACCAGGAAGAUGGACCAGGAACAGGUUUGGAGAAUAAUUUGAGGAACAAAUGCAUGUGGGAUCAGGUGGUGUUUCUGCUUCUGUCUGUGCUGCCUGAAGUCCUUUGGAAAAAGGAAAACUUCUCCAGCAUGGUGUGUCCUGCUUGUGUUGACAGCACAAUUUUCACUCCAUUACGAGAUCCUGUUACAACGAUAACUAUACUUUUCCCUUCUGGCCUCUCUAGUAUGGCCAAGGCAGUUUUCUCUUCCAUCAGGCAGGGUGAAAGCUGAUGUAGUGGUUACUGACAGUGUCGUGGGCUUUGAUGAGCUGUGGCAUAACUCGAUCCUCCCUUAAUGCAAAGCACAGGCAGUGUUGUAGUGAUCAGCUGAAACAGGAUCUCUGCACCCAGCAGAAACUGUAAUGGAGAUUGAAAGUGGGUGUUGGCGAUGACACCAAAGAGAAGGGGGGAGGGGAGAGAGAGGGUUUGGGAAGGAGCCAGAAAUCAGAAUAAGGGCAGCGUUAGGUAUGGGAUGAGAAGUGCCUGCAGAAGGAAUGAGGACAGGUGGCUGGAGGUGCCUGGUCAAGGGACGGUGACCUGUGCUUUCCAUCCCUGUGGUCCUGUAGAUGAAACUAUUUCCACAUUUGUCCUUAACAAAUUAGGAAUAUGUGUCAUGGGCAGCCUGGUCUGGUGGUUGGCAACCCUGCACAUAGCAGGGGGUUGAAACCAGGUGAUCAUUGUGGUCCUUUUCAACCCAGGCUGUUCUCUGGUUCUGUGAUAUGCAGAUGGAGCCAGGUGCUAGCUGCACCUUUGCAUGCUCUCAGAAGUAAGCAAAGACCCUGCUUUCAUCUCCCAUAUCUUCUCUAAUUCUGUGCAUUUGCAAUUGCUUGACAAAAAUACUCUGUUCUUUGUUGCCUUUCCAGCACCAAAAUAAGCAUGAAGGGAUGAGCCAGACUAUUGUCUGCGUUAAGCAUUGAUGAUGCAAAUUAAAAGCUACAUUCAAGCUUUAGACGUUGCUUCCUGGGAAAAAGCUGUGACUUGGAAAGUGUAUUAGGGCCACGUUUCAUCUAUAUGGGACACUUCGAAAAAUAAAAUAAUCAAUUUGCAGAAGCAAGCUAUUUAGUUCAGAGUCACUGGAUUAGCACACUGUGAGCAAGGAAAUACGUUUCCCACUCCAGCUGCCUGUGUAGAUGCCUGGAGCUUUGUAAGGAAAUUUUCCACAGUCUGAUGCACGCAUUGUAGAAAUAAGGGCAAACUUUGCUGCUGCUCUGAAACGAACUUUUCCUUAUUAUUUGAAUCUCUGACCAAAAAAAUAUGUCAAGGUUUGUGCCAUCAUGCCUGAGUCUUCUCUGAGCGAUGCAAAGAGCUGCCAGCCCUUCUGUGAGCUCAGAUUUCCUGAAGCUUUGCAUGUUUUUAAAAGCAACAACAACAACAAAGUAUUUCUAAGGUUGAAGUUGAAAUGGUACAGCUUCCAUCUGGGAACUGUUUUAGUUUUAAUUUGGAAAAACAUACUAUAAAAUGUCCCAUAAAACCAGAUUGUCCUUCCCAGUGUUACUGGCAAAUGAUUCUCAUCAGCCUCUUCAGGCUCUCUGCUUUCAUGUGUUCAAGCUCCGUGGUAUGUUCAGGGAGAGAGUUACUGUGGUUUUCAAUAGAGGGUCAUACAUAAAUUCCCACAAUGGAUCACUUGGGGAAGAUUAAUACAAAGAAUGUGUUAAUAACAACGAAUUGGAAGUCCUUGCAGAUUUUGCAGGCUUGCUAUGCACAGGUAGCUUAGUGACCAUAAAGUUGCUGUCUGGUUUUGCUUGUAAAUGGGAUGUACUCAGAGGACUUCCUUAUAGCUUGGGAAGCUGUAGACGAGCACAGAUGCUCCCACCUUCCUGUGGAAGGGCAGUUGGCACACAGGUAUUAGCCCUGGGCUAACAGGGCUGCAGACUCACCCUCCAUCCUCUCUUGCUGUUGCCUUGCUGUGGGAGCUACAGGGCUGGGUGCCAGGAGCUCACCAGCUCGCCAGUAGCUUGCUGCUGUCCAAAUGCAUUGGUCAGUUUACUGGAUGCCAGCUUUUGUUCCCCGAUUUUGUUUUGCUGGUAUUCAUUGCAACUUCAGCUCCUCUCAGCACAACUGAGUUUGUGGUAGAGAGGCAGGACUUAACAGUAUAAGAAUUUACCAGGCCAUUUUCCGAAGGGCAGCGCGGGCUUCCCAGGCUUUGAUUUGAUGUUCUUAUUCCCGAGCCUCACAGAACCCAUGCUUCUCCAUCGCCCUCAGGAAGAUCACUUGCUUGAGUCAUUUCUGUUUGAUGGGACCUCAUGGAGACCCCUGCUGCCAAAAUGAAGGAGCCCAAAGGACCAGCAGUGUCAGGCUGUAUCUGCAUCCUUCACAGAGCUCUCUGUCUCCUCGUUACAUGCUGCUCUCAGUGCGUUCAGUUCAGCUGCCCCUGGGUUUGUGCAAUGUGGGAUUUCACGGGCUGUGGAUAUGGAGAGGCACAUGUAGACAGCAGGGUGUCUGGGAGUGUCUCCCUGCUGUUUUUCAUCAGCCCCUGAAAUACCACAGGGUGUGCAACUGCUCCCCAUCUCCGUUGUCCCAAGCUGUACGUGUUUCAGGGAUUGCUGGAGACUCGAAGAAAACAAAAUAACUGCUUUUGGGUAACAUGAAAUCCUGAUUAUGGAAAUACUGUGUAUCACAGCAAGCAUUCAUCUUCUGCUCGCUCGGAAACCCUGCUGUGAGGGAUCCAUGCAUGAACACAAGGAUGGUUAAAGAGAAUUUUGCUUAAAUGCACUUGUUAGAAUGCUCAUGUGAAACCGGUACCUUCGUGGCUAAAAUCAAUGGUUUUGCUUGCAAAGCAGCAUCUGUGUGCUGAGUAGCUUUUGUGGAUGAGCAAGAUGUUGAGAUCUUUAUCCAAAGGAACAUGUGUCCUUAAUUAGACAGUGCAACAAAACAACACUGCAGAUUACGGUAGGUAAUGAGAGAAAGGAGAUCAAUGCAGAUUUCAUCUGGGAAAGGUAAACGGUGGCGUUCCUAAGCAUCUUCCAGCCACUAUUUCCCUGUGGGAAUAGAUGGCUGUUGGUGUAAAACCUCUCUGCUGUCUGGCCAGCAGUGGGGGCUGAUGGAAAUAGUCAUUAUUAAAAGCCUGCCAGGUGCUCUGUGUUUGAAAACCUUAUUUGCAGUCGCUUCUAUUUUGUCAAACUUCGCUUCGGAGAGUUGUCUGCAAAGGGAUGUGCUACUUGGGAGUGCUCCAGUGAAAACAACUCAGCUGUUGUGGAGAACGAGGCUGAGAAAAUACACAGUUCUUACACUGAAAAAAAUAAAACUGAAAGCACACUGACCAUUUUUUCCCUUCUAGGCUGCCUUGCCCCCGCUCUUGGGAGCAAUGACUUGAUGUUUGGCAGAUGUCUCUUUUGCAGUUCCCAUGCAAAUCCACCAAAGUUGAGCCAAUUUGGAAAUGUGCUGGGGAACAGGGGCAGGGAGUUGGAGCGGGAGAGAGAAAAGCUGUGUUGCUUAAGCAUCGCUGAAUGCCUCCCUCGAGCUGGAUCCUCUCCUUGCUGCUGUUACAGUGCAUGUGAUUUUGGGAAGCUGCUGGAAGCGCACUGCGGGGGUAUCGUUCUCAGAGCACUGUGUGCUUCUUGGAGACCCUGUAUCUUGUUGUGCAAGUGCUGGUGAAAAAGAGAUUUGGCAAUAGGAACUGUCUGUUCGAGACAGAGGAGAGAAGCAAAGAAGCCACUAACACAGCGCCCUGACUUUCACAGUUCAUCAGGAGGGAACCUGCAUGACAGAGGUGGGUACCGAGGUGCAUCCUCAAAGAGAGACACAGCACACGAGGAUGUUUCUGGUGACAGCAUUGCAGUGGUAACUCUGCAGGCUUAUCAGCUGGGACAGAAGGAGACUGAGGACGGGUAGAGGUGCACACAGAGUCUGGGAGCUCUGAUUAAACAAAUGUAGGAUCCCUGUAGGUUUUCCUCCUGGGUUGCUCAUUGCAGUCAUUUGCACCUGUGUCACCAUGCUCUGCGUGGUGAUCUACCUCUAGGUAUGCUCUGGAGGACUGUGAGUUUAAAGUUUCCACUCUUCUCAGAAAUGCCGACAAGGAGACAAUCUUUCAUAUUAUAUGGGGAGAUGGACAGAAGAAGGGACAAGCAGGAGGGACAGGAGUGCUCAUGAGUCUGCAGACCGGCUUAUCAUUACUGAGCACUUGCAGAGCCAUGGGAGCAAUGACUUUCACUAGCACCCAGUCUGGCUUUUUCUGCUAGAAAUGCAAAAAGCAGGAGAACCCCAAAUAUUCCUGUAACUCCAUUGACAUGGAGAACACCCACUGGGGGAAAAGCUGGGAAAAUAUCCCUGGAUUUGAACAAAGAUGUGGCAGCGUGCAUGAACAGCAAUCUAGUUUUGCAGCCGUGUGCUGUGGGAAAAGGAACUGCAGCGUGCAAGCAUGUCAUGCCAAAGAAGUCGGUCAGAUUGGCAUUUGGGAAGAGGCUGUGGUAAUUAUUGAGCUUCUGAUUUCCCAAGAGCCUUUCUUUGCCUCUUUUUUUGUGUGUAUGUAAUUAGGUCUAUAAGGCAGCAACGUCGUGUUAAAAUGUUAACAGGAGUUUUGCAGAGUGGGACUCGGCUGGGGCUAAAUGGUGCUUGGGAGGGAGAGCCCAGCAACUGAUAUCUUUCUCUUCCUCCCAAACUUCUUUUUGGGAACUAUUGAAAUCAGCAAUCUUUUUCACCAGGGCAGCUUAUUCCUUUUAAAUAAGACACUGAAGACCCCCUUGGUAAAACAGCAGAUUGGGGUUUUACUUUGUUAUUAGGACUUAAAAAAAAUUACAAGCACUGUGUUACAACCUCAGGCUCUGUCUUGUUGAUGAGGAAUAAAGUCUUUAGUAAUGAAGAACAGUCAGAAGGAGUGUCUAAUGCGCUUUCUUUAUUGCCAGCACACAUUUCAUACUGACAGUCAAUACUGCUAACUGAUCCCAAGCCAUGCAUGUUGCAUUUCAUAUCCCUCCACAGCCUCCUCCGCUCUUUCCUGUGUGGUCUUUUCUGAGCUAGCAGCAGAGUUCAUUUGUCAGCUUCAGGUUUCUGAGCGCACAGAUUGUUUUAAUUCACUGCCCUCGUUUUUAGGCCAGGAGGAUAAAGUUUGUUGUGUGCCUACUGAAGGAGCAGGAGCAGAGGAGCCACUGGAAGGAUUAGAUGGCAGAACAGCUGCAGAGGAUCAUGUGUGGGGUGAUGGCCUGGAUUUAGCUUUCCAAGGACACCAGUUGCCAUUUUAGGGAGUCCACUUUGCCACUUUAUCAGUGUUUGGAGCUUAUAAAUAGGCAGAGCUGCUAAAUUGGAACAAAGUUUAGAUGCAGUCUAAACUGAUGGUCUUUGGAGCUGCCUUUACUGCCCGUGGAGCUGCAGUUUUCUCUGGCCAGUCAGAAGUAGCACGUGCACACACCUCCUCUACCAUUUUCUGGUCACAUUUGCGUUCCCUUGUAUUGUCUCAGCACCUCGCAGGAUUUAACUGUGUUCACCCCAGUGGCAUCCCCAAAGAAGAAACAGCAGAACUUGUUUUCCUGUGUGCACCUUGAAGUGGAACUGUUUCUUAGCUUUGCAGGUGUUCCAGUGACCGUGUGCUUUGGCGUUUCUCUCAGAAGCAUUAAUAGAGCAACUCUCAUCUCCUGGCCAACUGUUUGCAGACAAGUGUUUGCAAGUCCAGGAUCUUUGCAGCCCUUUUGAGACAGCAUUGAAAUUGCAGGGACUGUGCAUGCACGGACAGUACCAGCAUGAGCUUCUUUUCCUGGGGAGAGCUUAAAAAUCAAAUACAGGCUUUAAAAGCUUUUUUUUUUGCCUCACUCAGUCAGCUGCUUUGUACACUGGUGCAUGCUAAAACCCUUCUGGUGUAUAGCAGCGGUCCCAGCGGCACAAUGCAAGCGUGCUGCUACUGCCAGGACUUCCCGUGUCUGACUGACAGCCUGGUGCAGAAGAGCUGGGGAUUUACAUUCAUCACCAGCCGCUCUCAGCCCAGGCAAAUGGAGGCUGCUGUACAGAGAAGAGCAUUAAAAUGUUCUGCCAAGAGAGCCGAAGCCUCCCCCAUCUGCCUGCACUGACCGCGCUGCCAAGGUCUGAGAAAGCUGAUUUUGCCUUUUCCUGACUUUUUAGCCCUUCUAUCCUCCUGGCUUUCUGAGAUUUACACCAGUGUCGUUUGCCAGGCAAUGUCAUGAAUUUAAAAGCUGCUUUAAUUUUUAACUGCUGUGCGUCUCCCAUUUGCAGGUCCAGUUUUUGGGAGGAUUCUCAUUUAGUCUACAGCAUUACGUUACCACCAACAGAUAGCCUUGUAACAAAACAGACCUAGGAGCUGUGCACCAUUAGUCCACUUGCUUCCCUUUAGUUACAUUUUUUCUGAUUAAAAUCAAACGUUCACUUCAUUUUUCCGACACAUUUGUGUACUACACUGAAAGUUACUCAUUCUCUGCUCCUUUAAGGUGAACUUUUCUUUUGCUUUGGGUUUGUCACUGAUAGCUGCAGUUCGCUUCCCCGCCUUCUUUAUGCCCAUGCUCAAUGAGUAAAUGAGAGCAGUAUGAAGUAGGUUUAGUGAAAAAUGACCAUCAGCAGUGUAGAUGACUUUGCUCUAAUUAAAAAUUGAAGCGGAAAUGAAUAAGCUUCUCAUGAGGCUGUGCAGGAAUUGACACCGUGCCCAGCACUGUAUUCCUCGGUGAUGUGGGAAGUCCCACAUAUUAAAGAAUGUCCCAGAAAUGUGGGUACCUUGAAUGAUGCUAGUUGAAAGGUAAGGAGAGUUUCUUAUUGCAGCAUUUGCAUCUGGCUGAGUACUGAAUUUGUCACAUCCCUGUGUUUGAAGGCUGUGGUGGGUUUUAUGCCCUUGCUGCUAGUUCUGAGCCUUAGUCAGGCACUAUGGACAGGCACCUUCAUCCAGUUU